UACAUCACUAUCUUGCAUGUAUGCAUUAAACAAAUUACUUAUCUGUGCCCCCAAUAUUAGACAAAUAUAUAUUUUAAAUCCACAACAGAAACAUUAUCAAAUAUGUUAUAACAAAUGCAUAAAUCCACUAGAGUUCACUAUUUUAUAAACUGUAACAUAAGAAGUACUGUAACCAUCAAAACUGAAAAUCAAAGUCAUACAUACUACAAUAACAGAAAACAAACAAGGGUCUAUAUAAAGGAGUACUGAAAAAUGAACCUAAUAUGAGAUCUCCUAUAAGGCUAACAACAUAACUUCUGAAUCCAAAUACAAACCUUCCUCCCUACAUAUCAUCUAAUAGUUCUGUGCAUAAUCAAAGCUCAAAGGUUGACCAAAUGGAGCCUGCAAAGAAAAAUAAAGGUAUCUUAGCAGUUGCAUUAUUGAACAUCUAAAAUCAGAGAAUUUAAAAAGGAAGUGAAAAAACUAUUCCAUGCCGGGGAGGCAAAUUCAUACACAGAAAAAUUAAUCAUCCAUAAAGUGAUUCCUUUAAUUGGACAAGUUAUUCAACUUUGUUCAAAAAGAAAGUGUUGAUAGAAAGGGAAAAUAACAAUACAAGCCAAUUCUUUAUUAAAUGCAUAUGCUUCCCCUUACAGAUAACCACCAGAUCAUAUCAAAAAAUCACUAAUAUUUGUGAUUAGAAGAUAGUUAAAUAAAUAUUUCAAUUGUUUGUUUUAGUUAAAUAAAGCAAAGGUCUACUAGGGGAUCAUCGGGUGCCCUGUUUAGGGAGUACACGCCUUGUAGAGCGCUUGUUGUGUGAAAUAUUGGCGUUGAUGGUGGGAGUGAUAAAUCCAAUUUUCUGCAUCUUUGAAGCGCGCGCGGCAUGGCAAACAGUCAGUCAAAUAAGCAAGCCACAAUUGCCCUUAGAUAAGACUGUUUUGUCCUUUUCCGAUUUAAAUUCAUGUUGCCUCCUCUCUUCCUAGUGAUUCACCCAAAACAAAGACAUGGAGAGGACAACGCUAUUCUACUCUGCAUUCUAUAACUGCAAAGAUCAAAAGUCGCAUAAAAACUGUCUCUGCGACGGUGGAGGCAUUUUCUGGCAUGUUCAAGGUUCAGGUUCUCUACACUUUCUCGCUUGGUUUAUAGGUUCUUAACAUUGUUUUUGACAUUUGUGAAUGCCAAAGCAAAGACCAACCAACACCCAACCAAACAACAAUGACACACUGCUCUGAUAGUGAUUUUAAAGACUCACUUGUUUAUUUCAAAUGUUAUAUCUGGGCUAUGAUUUGAAUGUAAGCGAUAAAUUAUAAGGUAAAUUGUAUAAGUAUUGAGUAUGACUACUGUUUCAAUCAAAAUGGUCAACCCAAAACACACAGGUAAUUUAAAAAUUAUUAGAUUAUUGCAAGCAUGUCAUGUAUUUGCAGCUAAUAAUACAAGAAAUCACUCAGGCAAACUCGAACAUGGUAAAAAACAUUAAAGUGAAAUAAAUGUGGUUUACCUUGGUAAACAUACAUGUCUAAAUUGGUCAUAUGAAUGUGCAUACAUCAUUGUAGGACUUGGCACUGUAGGUAAGCACCAUCUCCAGAUUUUGGGUUCAAUCCUGGGGUACAAAAGGGCUCAUUAUCGGGGUUGAAGGAGGUCCAUAUCCAAGUGAAGCUGAGUUUGUGCCAUUUGACCCAACUGCAUUAAAAGUAAUGUCUACUGAGCAAAUGAAGCGUUGAGCUUCUUGGCAAAUAAAGCGGCACCAAAUUAACUGCGGGGGCUGAGAGACUCCUAGCAUACCUGAACCAAUAAUUAAUUCAAUCUAAUUAGUAAAGCCAACUAAUAUAUUUUAGACCCUAUUUGGAAAAACACAACUUAAAUAAGUGCUUAUGACAUAGGUGCCUAUCAUAUAAAAUGUUGAUGUAUAAACUAUUUCUAUAACAAAGGAUAAAAUAAAGUCAAACAGUUCCCAUACAAGUUAUAAGUUGCUUUCAAAGCAAUCGUGAAAGCUUAAUGGGUGUGUCAUAAGUUGUUCCCAUAUCUAUCCCUAUAAUGCACUGACACAAACACGCACACAAGAACACGACACUAACACAAUACACCGAUAACAAUUUAAGAAAAUGAAUUGAUUGAAUGCAACAUGUGUCACCGUCGUAUCUGACACCAAACACACCUUCAAUCACUUGCGUACAAGUAUAAGUUGUUUUCAAAGCAAUCAUGAGAGCUUGUGGGUGCUCAUAAGUUGUUUCCAUUAAGCUAUCCUAUAAUGCACCGACCAAACACGCACACAAGACACGGAUACUAACACCUCUACACUUGAUAAUAAUUAAAGAAAUGAAUUGAUUGAUGUACACUGUGUCUGUCGCUGUCUGACACCAGACACACAUUAAUCAAAAGUGUCAAGCUACUCAUAGAGCUCUCCUAAACAGUCUCAUAAGUAUCUGUGUCAAUAGAUAAUUCAAAUAAGUCAUCCCAACCAGCUUUUAAAGUUUAAAUCAGUACAAAUGCAUCGACUACAAGAUAACACAAAAAAAAAAGAAACAGAAGAUGUCUCUAAACAUUCCAUAGUAAGUUUUUAUAAUUAUAUAAUCAAGAGUUCCAUUUAAAUGCAAUCAAGAUAAAAUAACUUCAUCUUGGCUCUUCCUCGUUCUAUCUCUCACAUGAAAAGAUAGCUUUUUCUUUUUAUUUUCACUUAUACAAACACAAGACAGUGCAGCAACAAUUCAAAUGAAAAAAAAUGUUGCAACUGUAAUUAUGAUACUCUGUUUUCAGAAAGUUUGUUACGGUACAUAGAUAAAAAACUCACCUUCCAUAGCUACGAUUCAUAAUCUGGAUCAUUCGAUCCUUUUCCCUAUCUCUGAUAAUGGCAACUCGAGGAUAACCAUUAUCCCUCACACUAAAGGAAAACAUCAAGUAUGUAUAAUUAACCAUAUACUUCCAGUAAACAAGUUCAUUCAAACAAAACUUAAAGAUAGUUAUCCACACAUAGAUUCCUUUUGGGAAACAACUAUACCUUUCAUGUGAGGAUUUUUAUUGGUUGAUGUAUUAUCACAAAAAAAAUAAUUGUUGAGGAUAUUAGCUGAUAGAUAAGCUGAUUAUCCACAAUAAUCAGUAGCCCAAAAUAAGGUCAUUUUCACAAAUGACUCCAAAAAAACAAACUGAAACGAAAACACAAAAAUUAUUAAUACAUGUAAAAAACAUAGAUAUAAGUAAAUCAAAUGAAAAAUACAAAAACCACAACCAUCAUCAAGUAUGUGAUUGGAUGAACCAGCAACUGGUUCAUUUCCGUUUCCAACAGCAUCAGAUCCAUCACCAGAUGUUGAUCCACUAGUAGAGGACCACCAAAUUCUGCAUAAAAUUAAACAGAACCAAAUAAUUAAAUCAAAACCAAAGCCAUACAUUAAUACACUAAAUACUCAUACUCAAAUAUAUUACUAUACCUGAAACAAUAGUGGCGGAUAACUCAAAUUCUUCAUUUAUAUUCAAGUCCUUGAAUUGACUAAGUGUAGGUUUCAACCAGUCUUGUGCACAAAUCAAAGCCUCUGUUCAUUUCAGGGGUUAGUGAACUUCUAUAUGUGUCUAGAACUCUGCGCCCGUACUAAACGUGCUUUCAGAAGCGACAGUGGAUACUGGACUAGCUAAAACAUCCUUCACCAUUUUUGAUAAAAUAGGGUAUCUACAAGAGUUUUGUUUCACCCACAUAAGAUGUUCAAAGUUAAAAUCAUCGGCACAAUUAUCAUCUAGAUACCUCUCAAGAUCAUUUUUUUAUCUAUUAAAUCUUUUUGUUUAAGUGGCUCUUUAAAAGCUUCAACCCUUGCAAAUGAUAUGGAACUUCAACAUAGGACACCAUCACCAAAUGAACCACCCUCAUUAGGACUAGUAGAGGGUCCAUGUUCUUUUCAUGUAUAACCCUGUACCAAUUGAAUAGUUUAAACAACUCCUUUUUAUCACAUUAAUCUAUUAGUAAAAGGCACCGACUCGCCAUUAUACAUAUCAUUAAAACACCACUCUACAUAUCCUAACUUGUAUCUAGGGUCAAGAAUCACACCAAAAUAAAUAAACUUGUUGAGUUUUCAAUUUCCCCCAAUAUUUGCCAUACUUCUUCUUCAUUAAUAUCCCAUUGAGGCUAAAUUGUGUUCAAGUUCUGGAUGAUCUUUUAAGCUCACAAUGUACUGAAGCUAGUUGUGGAAUGACUUAUGAAGGAUACUUGUUUUGACGAAGAAAAUUCCAUAGUAGCAUCAUAGAAAAUUUGAAAAAACUUACUAGACACCUAACAUUCUCCCAAUCAUUAAGAGUAGGGGGCCAACUAAUCCAAAAAUUCAAAUAGCUAAAUCUUCACUUCCAUUUCUCAAAUGUUGCUUGAUACUUUUCAGCAGCAUCUAGCAUCAAAUAACAUGAGUUCCACCUUGGCGGAACAUCUAGACAGAGACGUUUCUUGCAAUUAUCUAGCAAACUCAAUACAUUCUUUGAACUUUGCAGAUCUUUGGGGUGAUGACCUAACAAAUCUAACAACAUUUCAAUGGCUGAAAUGGAUAAAUCAUUCUGUUUUAAACCACACGAACCACCAGAUUUAAAGUGUUGCACAACAACGAAGAUGAAAGAAAGAUCCAUCACUCAUUAAACCACCCAUAUUAUCAAUCUCUUCUUCAAUAAGCAACAACUACAUCAUUAGAUGUUGCGUUGUCCACAGUGAUUGUGGACACAUUCCUUAUUCCCCAUUCCUUAAAAUCUCUUCAACUUUUCUACCAAUUGUCUCACCCUUAUGAUUAAGAACUAAACAAAAACUUAGAAUCCUAUUUUCAUACUUCCAAUCAUUGUUAAUGAAGUGUGCAGUUAGGUCAUAUAACUAAGAUUCCGAAUGGAUGUCCAACAAUCAGUGGUUAAGGCUACCCUAUUGCAAUCAGAUUUGAAAUAACCUUUCAAUCUUGUUUUUCAUCAACAAAAAGUUGAAAACAAUCCCUCGCCACAGUUCUCCUUAAUGGAAUAGUUAAUUGGGGUUGUAAUUGUUUGCAUAACAACUUAAAGCCUUCCCCUUCAACUACCCUAAAAGCAUGUUCAUCUAGGAUCACAAGAGAGCAAUAGCCUUCUACAAGCUGCCAAAUUAAAUCGUUGGCUUGCGGCAACCAAUCCACACCCUCUCCACCGCAAAGGAGAGGGUAGUUUGAGUAGGAUCAUUUUGUGGCAUCUUGGUACAUAAUUUUGUAUGAGCAAGCAUGUUAGAUGUCCCAUGGGUUUUGGAUCACACAAAUAUUCUCUAUGACAGUGUUUGCAAGCAGCUACUGCUUCAAUUUCAUUAGGCAAUUUAAUAAAAUGGUCCCAAGCAGGAGAGGAUUUCCUAGGACCAUUAGCAUUUUGUUUUCUCUUCUUUCAAGUGGAGGAAGUCCAACAACAUGAAUUUCAUGGCAGCAACAUCAGUUGCACUAACACCAGAUGUUAAUGAAGAAGGUUGGUUUUGAGUAACAUUCUCCAUUACUGAAAAUUAAUGAAGAUUAUAAUCAACACACAACCACAUCAUCAACUCGUUAAGUGUUUAUAGGCUUAGUUUCAAAGUUUGUUACAUUUCCUUUCUCUAAUGAUACUUUUAUGUGGUGAAAUUUAUUGUUUAAUUAAGUAAACUUAUUAUAUUUUGUUUAUUGUUGUAUGCAUUUUCACUUAUGAUAACAAUAAUGACUUAAAGGACCUAUUACCUUAAACUUUUAAUAAGGUAGCAAACAAAAUAUUCAACAUGAUAUAUCGACAUAGGCAUACAAAACUACAUAAAAUAAACUAAACUUACUGUUAUAUGCGAAUUUCCAGUCCUUGUUCUCCUUGUAUUUCUCCAGCUCCUUGCAUUUCUACAGCCUCUUCCAUAUCUCGAUAAAGAUAAAACAAAUGGAGUUAUUAAAACAGUUAUAUAAAGAUUAAAGCUCUUAAAACAUAAACAACGAUCUAACCUUCCAUAACUCAAAGAACUCUUGAAAUUACAAAACCUGAAAAUACAAAAUCGGAAUCAAGAACAAGAAGACUUAGUGUUUAGAAAGCAAAUACGAACACAAAAGAACGUGAUUAAGAGGGAUAAGGAUACAAAUGAUUCUCUGCUUAGUGAUGAUGAAGGAGGAAAGGACGGUGAUGACGGCGGAGGAGAGACAUAAAUAGCGAUUUUGUUUUACUUUUGGAGAUGAAGCAAGGUGACGGCGCUAAAGCUUUAGGGUUCAGAGGGGUGGACGGCGCUAAAGCUUUAGGGUUCAAAGGGGCGCUAAAGCUUUGGAGGAGAACUCUGAUUUUGUUGGGCCAAAAUUCUACUGGGUGUCAUAAAAUUGGGCUGGGCAUAAGUUAGAUAAUUAAUAUACAAUCGGUCGGGCUCAGAUUUUAUUGGGCCAAAAAAACAAAACCGAACCCGACCACACACACCCCUCUGAACCCGUUUGCAACACCCGUCCAACCCGUCAAACCGAAUUAACCCGCCCCGAAAUAGAAUCCUGCAACCGGCUCGGUUGGUUAUUCUCGGGUGGUUUUUUCUUGUCCACCCUAAGUGACACUUAGGAUUUUAAUUGAUCUGACAAAAGUAAAGUUACAUGGCCUACGACAUGUUAUGAUAUACUCUGUUGUUUUAGAUUUAAUAUAUUAUAAUAGAUAAUAGAUAUGAACGUGCGUCUAUUUUUUAUAUAAUUUCUAUAUUUUUUAAAUUUUAUUUCCUUCCUCCCACACGAAGUGAUUCAUUUGUAAUAAUUUUUUUUUUAAAUGACUAAUCCAUUUUAAUUUACAAUGUAAUUAUUUUUUUUUCAAUUCUACCUUUAAUCAUUAUUAUUUUCACCACCUCUAAUAUUUGAUAAUGAGUAUUUUAAUAAAAACAUCAUUUUCUCUUUCGUUUAUUCAUUUUUUUUAAUAUGUGUAAAAUUGUCAAUUGACCGACUUAUUUUAGAACAAUAUUAUCACAUUUACUCUAUGUAAACUUAACUUAUAUUUAUAUUUAAUAAUAAUCUUUAUUGUAAUAGAAAAGAAAUAAUAAAUUAUGAAUUUCAAUUAAAGAAUAUAAAAUGAAAAUAAAAAUAAAAAUUGUAUUAAAAACUAAAAUUAAUAUUUAUUUUCGGAAAAAUAUUUUUUACAAAUAUAAUAUUUAUUUUAGAAUAUUGGGAGUAUUUUUUUUUCUUUCCUUCAACUCUACCAUCCUACUCUAUUGUUUUUUAUUAAUUAAUUUCAUAACAGAGAUUUCUUAAUAGAAAAAAAUUAUUUUUUAAAUUAUUAUUUCCCCCACUUUUAAAUUUUGCUUACCCAUUUCAACUAACAAACUAUUUAUUUUAGGAAUAUCCAAAAACAUAUAUAUUUUUUUUAAAUAGAGAAUUUAUGAUGAUUAUUGUGACUUCUUCUAAGAAUUUUUUGUAAAGAGAAAAAAUAUUUAAAUCCACAAAAUUAACCCUAUGUAUGAAAAUGUAAAAAAAUCAUCAUCACUUUGAGUUCAUUCAUUGAUUCUUCCCAAUCCCAUCUUCAAAAGUUUUGCUACCAUUGAUGAAUUGAUUUCAAAUCCCAAUUCUUCAAUGCUGUCUCAGUAAUCAAAUUCUACACUCUAAGCUAUGGAUAUGGCUUCCGUCUCUCUCACCUUCUCUUCUUCCAUAGUUCCCUCUCCAAUUCCCCAACCCAAAUGCAUCAAAACCCACACAAGACCUAAAGUUUCAACCUUUCGUAUUACCCGCUGCGCAAUUUCACCUCCACCCUCAAAAACCGCUUCCAAUUCCUCCCCGGUUGUCAAAAAGAAACACUGGAAACAAGGCGAGUUUCCUGGGUUUUCCCAAUCUGAAGGGAGAACGAGGAGGAGCCCAAUUAAGAAUCUCAAGAAAAAAUUCGACAGAAAGAACAAUGCUAAGGCGUGGGUUAACACUGUUACUGAAGCUUUAUCUGAACGCAUGGACAAGAAACAGUGGCUUCAAGCCCUUCAGGUACAUAGACUCGGUUUUGCUGUCAAAUUUCAGUAAUUUUGUAUGUUUGACUGUGGGUCAUGUUUGGAUAAACAGCUUAAUUAGAGCUUAUAAGUUAUAGCAUAAUCACUUAUCCGUAUAAGCUAUUUCUACUGUUAAAGAUGAAAUAAGGUGAAACUGUUUUCAUAACAUAUGUUGUUUUCAUAAGCUUAUGGACAUUGUCAUAAGCUUAUCGCAAAUGUUUAUGUCAAUAGAUAAACUCAAAUAAGUCAUUUUGUAUCUAAUAAGACUUCUAAUAAUUAGUAGUAUUGUUUGGAUGAUUGGUUUGAUUCUACUUUGUUAAAUUACUUGUUCAUUUGAGCAGGUAUUUGACAUGCUCAGAGAACAAUCUUUUUACCAGCCGAAAGAAGGGACUUACAUGAAACUCAUUGUGCUACUUGGAAGAUCAGGUCAACCCCACCGUGCCCGUCAGCUUUUUACUACAAUGAUUGAAGAGGGUUGCAGCCCUACUCCCGAACUAUACACGGCGUUGCUCGCUGCGUAUUGCAGGAGCAACAUGAUUGAUGAGGCCUUUUUGAUUCUUAAUGAGAUGAAGAGCCAUCCUCUUUGUCAGCCUGAUGUUUUCACUUACAGUACGUUGAUAAAAGUCUGUGUGGAUGCUUUCAAAUUUGAAUUGGUUGAGUUGUUGUAUGAAGAAAUGGCUCAAAGAGGCAUCAUGGCUAAUACUGUUACGCAGAACAUUGUUUUGAAUGGUUAUGGCAAGGCAGGGAUGUUCGAUCAGAUGGAGAAAGUUCUGUCGAGUAUGCUGCAGAGCACUGAUUGCAAGCCUGAUGUUUGGACCAUGAAUACGAUCAUUAGUGUCUUUGGCAAUAUGGGUCAGAUUGAUAUGAUGGAGAAAUGGUAUGAAAAGUUCCGUAAUUUCGGGAUAGAACCAGAAACACGCACUUUUAACAUCUUGAUUGGUUCCUAUGGAAAGAAAAGAAUGUAUGACAAAAUGUCAUCAGUUAUGGAGUAUAUGCGAAAGUUGCAAUUUCCAUGGACCACCUCUACGUACAACAAUGUGAUUGAGGCGUUUGCAGUUGCAGGGGAUGAUAAAAACAUGGAGUAUACAUUUAAUCAGAUGCGUUCUGAAGGUAUGAGAGCAGAUACCAAGACAUUUUGCUGCCUUAUCAAUGGUUUUGCAAAUGCAGGGCUAUUCCAUAAAGUGAUUAGUAAUGUUCACUUGGCUGCGAAGCUUGAGAUACCCGUGAACACUGACUUUUAUAACGCCGUCUUAUCUGCAUGUGCGAAGGCGGAAGAUUUGAUGGAAAUGGAGAGGGUUUUCACGCGUAUGAAAGAUAACCAAUCUCAACCGGAUGACACAACUUACUCAAUCAUGAUCGAGGCAUAUAGAAAGGAGGGUAUGAAUGACAAGAUAUAUUAUUUGGAGCAGGAAAAGCAGACGAUGAUAUCUAGUGAUGAUAAGAUAGCGAGCCAGCCCGAAGAUGAAAUCUUUAGUUGAUUUGUGGUUAUUAGUCCAGACCGCUAAUACAUAUGUAUUCUUCAUCUCCUCUGUCUUGAGCAGCUGUUUAAUUUCGUUUUGACGUGGAUGGAGUGAUUAGUUGCUGAGUUGCACUCCAGCUUCAUUUUUCAUGAUGAAUGGCUGCAUUUCCUGCCUAACUUCUACUUGUUUGUUGUAAAGUUGAAUUUAAUUUUUGUCAUCCAUUUUACUUACAGAGAAGAAAUUUAAACAUCUGCGUUUUUAGUGUAUCGAGUUCAUGAGCUGAUAACUGCUGGCUUUACUAGUGUCCUGUGUCAAAUUUGAGCUCAUGUUUACAUUAACCCCAUCUCAUCUUGUCCGAAGGAAGCUAUUUGGAAGGUUAAAUUUAUUGGUUGGCCUCCAUUUGGUAAUUUACAUAAUUGUAAAAUAUCUAGAUGAUGGUAUUAUAGCCAAGGAAGCAGAAACACUUCAAAAUAAAAGCCAUCUUAGUUGUAUUUUACAUUUUUUUUCAUUUUUAUGCUAGUACAGAUAGGUAUGAUAAGUAGAUACAAGUAUAAAAGUUUAUUAAGUGUUCAAUUAUUCAUAUUUACUUAUAAAAUCUGAAGUGUAUUGGCUAUUGAGUAAAGCAUGUAAGUAUUUAUUUAUAUGUCUAUCUUCAUGUUGGGUCAUAUAAUAUUUAAAAUCUAUCAUAUUCCUGUGUUCAUGUCAUAUUGUACAUGUAUAAUCAUGUUUGUGUCAUGGUUUCUAGAACUAUUAAAUUUCCAAAAUCAUGUUGAAGAAGAUCAACCAGUUUAGAGUUUUGACAAAUCUUAAUGUCGAACCUUGUAUAUCAAACUAUCAUUAAUGUGUUAAUUGCAUAUCAUAUAAUCAUCAAAGUGUCUCUCAAUGUUGUAGAUCCAAUAAAGCUAAACAAAUCUGAACUUUUCCUAUUCCAAACUACAAUAAAAUGAUUCAUUUAUAAAUCAAAUUCCAAAAUAACAAUUAAAACAAUGAACAAUUUCAAAUCAAAACCCAAAAAUACAUGAUAGAAUAACCCAAUCUACAUCAUUUACUACAAAAACAAAAAAACAAAAAAAAAAUGUAUAUUAUGUAUAAACAAUUGCAAGAGAGGUUUUCUCAAUGAUGUAGCCUUGUAUUCCUAUAUUUCUAUACAUGAAAAUUGUAGCAACCAAACUGCAGAAGAAGCAAUCUGUAAUAUCUUGUUUCUAUCUCUUUUGGUAGUUUAUUUUCCCUAUACAAUAUGCAAAGAGGGAUGCAUAGAUAAUUGGGUAAGCAAUGAGCACCACAGCCACAACACUUAAUCUGUCAUGCCUGAACCCAUAGUAAUCCUUUAGAAAGGAACCAACUGAUUUUUUGUCUCCAAAUAUGAGUAUUUCCUUGUCCAUGUCUCCAUACUGUGAAGUUAAUAGGCCAUUCAAGGACCAAGCUGUAGGGCAAAUCCAGUAGCACCAAACCCACCAUUUAGGAAUUUUCUGCACAUAAUAAUCAUAGUUACUUAACUGUAUAUAUACACCUCUCCAACCCGAAAUUCAAACCUUGGUUAGCCAAACUUAAUUAUUUACAAAUUUAACAAAAUCCUUGUCAUAUUAGAACCACACACAAAUAUUAUUUAGGAUGCAGCUAUGAUUCUGUUCAAUCCAAACAAAAUCAAGCCACAACUUAUUGUCCUAUAUAUUAUGCUAUAAAAACUAAAUUAGGAAAAGAAAUUUGUGGAGAUCAAGGAGAGACUUACAGGUCCUGGCAUGAGGAAUCCAGAAAAGAGAUUGAAUAUGGUGUAGACUGCAGUUGACAGUACUGAAGCUAAAUCCAGAUUUAAGCUUAAUGACAUUACCAGCAUUCCAAGAUACACAAAGUAUAGAAAUGUGCAGAAUGUGGUAUAGAAGUACCAAAAGAGCUUCUGAACUGACCAAUGGAAACCUAUCAUUGGAUAUGUGAUAGCCACAUAUAAAAUUGCUUGCACUAAGAUAUAUGGUAUUUCAAUAGCCACCUACAUAAAAAAAAACAUAGAUUAUAACAUUACUGGUUUUAUUAUAAAAUAAAUACCACUUGAAUUUGCUUUGAGCAGCAUCAUACCUGUGCAAAUGAAUAAGCCAUGGAAGAAUACAUUCCUGCAAAUUUUUCUCGAUAUAGGACGGAGCGCUCAGUUGCCACGUACGGUAAAAUUGUUGAACAGUAAUUUAUUCCCAAGAAUAUUACAGCAAUAUACAUUGAUCCAAACACAUUGAACAAAUCCUGCUGAGUGUUUCUUUAACCAUAAAAAAAAACACAUGUCAGUACUUGAUUUAAAAGCUACUCUAGAACCAUGACACCACUAAGAAACAUGAAUGACAAAUGUUUUCUUCUGAUUUAAAUUAAUGAGUUUGGGUUCUGGGCAAAUUAUAUGUAAGUAUAAGAACGCAAACUCACAUUUCCUUCCCUUUCUGCCAAAAUACCGCCCCAAAUAUUAUUGCUGCAACAAUCAUGAACACAAAUCGUAUUAAAUUGUACUCGGGACUUCUCCAAUAGGACAAGUGUUGCUUCCAUAGGCAUGCCAUAAACUGCCCCAAGUUAUUUUGUGGGAAGCGAGUUGAAAAAUGCAAGUCUUUAGAACCUGGUUCUGGUUCACUUAUCUGUCUCACCAAUUCAAGGGUAUCCCUAGAAAUAAAAAUAGUAACUCAAAACAUGAGAUAAGUGCUCUUUCAAAUGUUUGAUCACUGGUCACUAUCAUUACAGCUGAAACAGUUAGUACAUAUAAAAUACGAAAGAAAGAGAAGAUUUUUGUCUGUAUUUUUUCUAUGAAAAUGAAUGAUAGCCAACUCGAUGCUCACCGGUGAAGGUGCGACUCUUUAUAUAUAUUUGCAAAAUCUAUUUUAAGUUCAUCUUCUACAGAUGCAGAAGUAGCUUCCAACAUCCAGGUUGCAGGAUUAUAAUUGUCCUUGAUCUUUGGAACUCCCGGUAUACUCUGAUGGACAGUCAAGUCAAUUAGAUAUAAAUUUGAACAAUUCAGGCCAAGGAGUGAAGACUAAGGCACAGUUUUUUGUCAAUGUACAUUGCAAGAAAAGAACUUUAGCAAAUAAGAUGAUCACAUGGAUCUGUCCAGAAUCUAAAACACUAAAUACUUCGCUUCAGGUCUGAGCAUACCUGAAAAUAUUCGAUCAGUCUAUUUGAAUGAUGGCCUAGCAUUCCAUUAUAUAUGAUCUUGCCUCCAGAUUUCAUUAGAAUCAACUGCAUGAAAAAUAAAUAUUUUUUAUUUGUUGAUCCAUAUGUCAUCCGUACACAAAUAUACAACAGAAAGUACUUUUGACUACCUCAUCAAAAGUCUCAAAUAUAUCGAUGCUUGGCUGAUGUAUGGUGCAAACUGUGGUCCUACCGGUGGCAACAACAUUCUUCACUGCACGCAUAACUACAGCAGCAGCUCGGGCAUCCAAACCUGAUGUAGGUUCAUCCAUAAAAAUUAUUGAAGGAUUGGAUACAAGCUCUACUGCUAUUGUUAGUCUUUUACGUUGCUCAGUAGAUAAGCCACUUUGACCAGCGAUACCAACUAAAUUAUCCUUUAUAUCAUCAAGUUCAAUUGUUUCAAGAACUUCUUCAACAAAUUUCUGCAGAAUAGAUACACACAGAAAGUUACAAAACGCAUCUUUUAUAUGAAAAUGACAGACAAACCACGGUAUAAAUCCCAUACCCCUUUUGUAGCUGAAUCAAUCUCGCUUGGCAACCGCAACCAUGCUGAAUAUCGAACAGAUUCUUCUACUGUUAUAUAUGGAGAAUGUAUGUCGUUCUGCUCACAGUAACCUGAAACUCUUGCAAAUGUCUUUUGCACUUUAGGGUACCCUCCAAUUCUUAUAUCUCCUUCAAUGAUACCUCCAGUUUUUCUUCCUGAAAGGACAUCCAUGAGUGUUGUCUUCCCUGCUCCACUGACUCCCAUCAAUGCAGUAAGGAUUCCUGGCCUAAACGCUCCCGUGAUAUCGCAGAGCAAUUGUAGAUUUUUCUCAUUUGAACCGUGUUUUUUCAUCUCCUGCUCAGAAGAGUAAAUUUCUUAAUUGACAACCUUGUCAACAAUCUACAUAAUCAUAAUAACAACAAGAACGUGAUUAUGAAUUUUACCGGAGGUGUGUCAACAAAAUACUGAACAUCCUUAAAUGCUAUUGACAGUGGCAAAAAGGGCAAGACCAUUUUCCCUGCAUAACCAACCAUGCAAAAGAUACCAUAAGUCGUUACGAUCUGUUUGAAAGAAAGAAUUCCUGUGAUAUAAGUUACCAUAAAGUAUCAUUUUUCUACCUGUGCUUUGAGCUUCCUUGGAUGUGUGGGUAAUAUCAACUGCUACUGACUUAUUUUUUAAUUCCACUUCAUUGUUUUUUUCUCCUCUUUUUAGUUGAGGCAGCCUCUUUUUCGAAACUAAAGCUCGAGAUUGCUUUGGCUCUGAAUGCAUUUCCCAUCAAAUCAGUGGAUUGAGCAAAAUAAAAACAAUUGCUCGAUAUUUUUCCUUGCAAUAUCAUGGAUAGGACUCACCUUUUAAGUAAGUUAAUGCUACUAUAAAUAGUAUAUCAAAUACUACUGCGAAACCAAGUAAUGCUCCAAUUGAUAUCCAGAAGAAGUUGCUAUCAAAGUCUAAACCACGACUCUUGAGAACCUCCCUUCCAACGGUGAUGUUUCCCUCUUGAAUCUGAAUAAUAAUAAUAAUGAAAAUAACAAUAAGAAUAUAGAUAUAUAACUGGAGAUUAAUUUUGAUACACCGUCUGUGUAAAACGUUUUACACUGUAAACAAAUUAUAACCAGUUAUAUGUGUGACUUCAGUAGUAUUUAGAAUAAACGUCAAACGUUUGUAAUGAUCAUCCAAUUAUGAUUCAUUGACAGCAUAAAAAAUCGUUAUCCUGAUAAUGUCUAGGAAUUAAACCCAUAUAAAUGUAUAUUGUGCCCUAUCAUGAAACCAAAUAAAUCAUCUUAGAAGGUACCUUUUGCCAGCGAGGAGCAAGAAAUUCAUUGAGUGUUAUUCCUAUUUCCCCAUAUGACAUGGGAGAAACCCAAAACCCCCACCUCAACCACUUUGGUAACGACGCUGCAGAGAAUAAACUACAUGAUGAGUAACUUGGUCAUUAGUAAUUUAGUACUACUACAUGUUAUAACUAAGACUAUAUAAAGCGUCUUACGUCGAGGAAGAAUAAAGCCUCCAAACAAGAACAUAAGUACUAAGACCAAAGAACCAACAGUUGUAGCUGCAACAUCAGUUUUAAACACUGCGGCAAGGGAACGGCACAUAGAGGUUGAUGACAUGUGCAGAGCGAUAAGCAAAAGGAACUGGCGGAGGAACCUGGUCCAACAAAAAAUAUGUAAGAAAAAACUUGCAAAAGAAAUGAGAAAAAGUUUGACUAUAUUUACAUGCCUUGUUAUUUCUGGGCUGUAGCCUAUAACAUAAUAUGUUAUUGAUGUCCAAACAAGAGAAUCAAGGACUGAAAAUGGAAUCUUUAGUAUGGCAGCUGGAAGACAGUAAGCCCAAGCUGGAUAGAGAUAGAAUGCUUUCUGCUUAUAAACAACGGGGAGUCUAGUAAUAGUCAUUAUCAACUCGGCAACUCCAUUUGUCAUUAGGCGUACAAGUGUAUAGUACAAUGAACCUAAUAAAUAGUUUGAUCCUAACAAGUCCACGUCAAGUUGUGUGCGCAAAAAGACCGUCAUUGUUAUGAUUGCAGUGAUUGUAAGCUGCAAAACAUGCGAAAAAAUAAACAUGUUAGAUUUUAAAUGUUCAAGUACGACUUAGCUGAGUUGAACUGAACUUGAAUUUGAUAGUAACCUGCACAGUUUUGAAUAUAUAGAUAAAUGAGUUUCGUUUCAUGAGAAGAAUCUCCCUCUUCAUACAAGCUUUAAACAAAUCCCAUUUUCCUAAGGAGUACUUGCUAUAUGAUAAAGAACUUUCAUGGGAUUGAGAUUUAUCAUAUGGUUGCGAGAGCUCAUCAUCUAACAUUCUUCCCCAGUAACUUGUUUUGAAAAUCUGAGAGAACUCAUCCACUGAAACAUAACUGUAAGGAAUAUCUGUGCGGUACCAGUAUUGCCUUUGAUCCUUCUUAGAGGUUACCUGCACAUGCAUGAAAUUUGUAACUCGUGAAACUAUGAGUAAAAUCACUUGAACUUUGGCGCAAUGGUAAGGGACACAGUUUCCAUUUCUACCUCUUGAAGAAAGUCUGCCACUCCUUUUCUUUCAGGGCACCAGAAACCGCAAUCCUUAAAGAACUGGAGUGCUUGACUGCAGGGGCCAUGGUAUACUAUCUUUCCCUCUGCCAUCAAUAUAAGAUCAUCAAAUAACUCAAAGGUUUCUGGUGCUGGUUGGAGGAGUGAAAGCACUGCUGUUGCAUCAUUGAUGUGCACCAAUUGCUGGAGACAUGUAACUAUUUGAAAAGUAGUGGAGCUGUCUAACCCAGUUGAUAUUUCAUCCAUAAAAAGUGCUUUUAUGGGACCUACAAUCAUCUCUCCUGCAGUAUGAUUUGGAAAAAAAUUGAGUAUAUAUAUUAAGAAAAUAUCUAUGAAGAAUAUUUAGUAUGUUUGCAGUCCAACCACAAGUAUCAUUAGCCUUAAUUUUCACUGCUCUAGUAAAGAGGCAACGCUUCUCAUGUAUAUUCAGCCAAGAGAAGUAACUUGUAAGUACUUCAAGUAUUCACAAGUUCUAAGGAGAUUAUUGAGUCUUGAAUUUUCCUCUCCGCGACUCUUAAAAUUUUGAUUGGAACUAACUCAAUCCUACAAAAUUGCUUUUAAGGUGAUGGUUGCUCACACAUUAUCAGGUCACAUGUCAUGCAUUAUGGGACUCUCAACAUACACCCUCACGCCCAAAACUGAGCAUUUGGAGCGUGACCUAAGAGGCCGAUAGCAGGAAGCCCAACAGAUCUUGUAUCAGCUCUAAUACUGUCUUCAUAUUUGAGUUGGGCUAACUCAGCUCUAUAAAUACGACUUGUAAGGUGAUAGAUGUCUCUCACUUGUAAACCCAUUUUCAAGCUAUAUCUCAUCCAGCGCGGGACUCUCAAUAGUAACAAAAUGACAAGAAAACAUUACUUAAUUUUCAAGAUACCUGUAGUUAGCCUUUUCUUCUGUCCACCUGAAAUGCCUCUAUCUAGUGCAUCUCCAACCAGAGUGUCAGCACAGAUAUCCAAUCCAAGUAUCUACAACAUCAAAAGUUGAAUCCACGUGUUAAAAAGAAUAGAAAACAUCUAAAGUGAGAGAUUCAAUAACUUUGUGCUCUAACUCAACCCUGCUUUAAGCAGAUGUACCUUUAAAACAUAUUCCGUUUGAAGAUUUUCGCUUUGUCCUUCAACAGAAAUAGCCUGCAAAAGUCUGUGUUAAUUUCUGUCAACUUUUUUCUUUCUAAUUAUGACAUAUAAAUUCUCCAUACUACAAUUACCUUCAUAUAAGUAUCAAUAUCCGGGUCAGGGAAGAUUCCUUGUUCUUUUUCUUUCCUAGUGAUUUCAGUCAUUAUAUCUGCAAUUCAAAGGAUACAUAUGAAUGCCUACUGGUAUUGUAUUAGUUACAACUUAUAUGGAUAAUCUAGGAUUGAAUAAGCAAGAAAGAUUACCAGCUCUGCUUCCAACCCCCUGACAACGUGCCGAGAAGUCAAUAGUUUCCCUGACUGUCAUCUCAGGAAUGUUGAAGGUCAUACUGGCUUAUGUAAGCUGAUGUUUUUUGAGGAACAAAUUCAUCUAGUCUGUGACCAUUGUAACAGAUUUCUCCAGAAACCUAAAGUUAAGUAAAGAGGUAGGAUACCACAGCGAUUAAUACGUAGGAAUCUUUAUUGUUUUGAAGUUAUGCUAAAAAAAUCAUUUAAACUCAAUGACUUUGCACAUUAACUUUAUUCUAUAUUACUGUGUUUAAAAACUGACUCGAGAGAUUGAUCUAGUUUUCCAGCCAAUGCCAUUAGUAAGGUAGUUUUCCCACAGCUAGGUGGACCCAGAAGAAGAGUAAGCCUGCAUUAAAAGCCAUAUUUGAUGAGUUAACGUUUAGAAAUCCGGUCCGUUUUUUUAUUUUAAGCUUCAUCAUUUUGUUUUUUCUGUCAAAUAACCAUAUCCAUGCCGGAGUGUCUUAUGGAUCCUUUUCUAUUUGUGAUUGUGAAUACCAAAUUAAUGUGAAUAUGAGUGCAUCCUUGUAAAAUAUUCACUUGCCUUGCCGGCUUUAUGAUGCCACUGACAUCUUUCAGAAUGCCCAAUUUGGUUUCUUGAGAACUGCAUGAUAUAGUCUUCACUAAAUCCUGUUUGAAUCACAAGUUAGUUCUGUUUGCAUGUACAAAUAAGAUGAGGCAGUGACAAAUGUAGGUUGUGGUGCAUAUAAAUAGUAAGAGAGAUGGAAGGAAGCAUACUUACUGAAAAUAAGCUAGAAAAAGAAUUCCAUAGAGUAGGAAGUGGCUUCCCUUGAACAACCUCACAUUCUGCUUCUACAUUCAGGUUCUUGUACCUUACCUCCACACUAGGUAACUUCACAUUCACUCUGAAAAACAAACCAAUCUAUCAGCCAAUUCUUCAAAAUAAUCCACUAUAUAUACUAAAGAUACACCCCUUCCUUCUUUAACUGAGUGCCAUAAAUGUAACAAAGUGCUUAUCAUAUAAGUGCUUAUGUAUAAGCUAUUUCUAUAACAAACAGUUACAAGUUAUUCGAAGAAUUUAUUAUGCGAAAUAGCUAAAAACAGCUGGUGCACAUGUCAGAAGCUAUUUUCAUAAGCUCUCUCAAACAGUCUCGUAAGUGUUUAUGUGAGUAAAUAAGCUCGAAUAAGUCAAUCAAUCUAUAGUACAAAAUCUACUCAAUUCCAGAAUUGGAUGCCAAAAAUAUCAUAAUCAUUUGUGAAUACUCCACUCAAACAAAAUGUCAACCCUAAUUUGUUAGUAAAACAAAAACAACUUAUUUUGCAGCAUGAUCUAGUCGAGUGUAAACAAAUUACCUUUCCAUCCUUUCUCUAAGUUUCUGCAACAAGUUGAGAUUAUCAUUCUCAAUAUGCUUGAUGAGCUUAUCAAUAAACAACCGCUUAUCAACAGCUCCAAGUUUAGUAACAUCAACAACCCUUUUACUACUACUUCUUUGCCAUCUACUACCACUUUCCUCCUGAGUGAUUUCAUCAACAAAAGAAGUUUUAAUCCUUUUGAAAGUUGGUAGUUUCUCUAUAGCAGCCCAUUUAGUAACUUCGAGAAAUAGAAGGAGGUGUUUACUUAGACGUAGAGACAGUUAAGUCACAACAUGACCUUGAUUUCUUCCUCUUGGAGUUAACUCCAUUACUAAUCUUAACUUCAAUCAGCAGCUACUGAAGUGAAGCUUUUAAAGUGUAAUAAUCACAAACAUGUGGUGUGCAAAUAUUGAAAUGAUUGUUUAGAGAUUUUGAAGGAGGAAACAGAAUUUGAUUGUGUUUGAAAGUGGUUUUGAAAAGCAGCCACUUCUUGAGAGUGACUCUUGAUUAAGAAACAAAACCAAUUUGGUUAUAGGAUUGUCAAAGGUUCACAUGAAGAGAGAGUUGUUUGGUUGUUAGAUUGGAGUUUGUUUAUUUUGGUUCUCUGCAAAUUAUUAUUUUAUAAUUUGUUCAUCUCUAUUCCCUUCAUUGACUCUCUACAACAAAGUCCCUAUGGUGAUUUUUUUUCUUCAUGCAAGCUUUAUUUUAUAAUAUCUUUUUAGUUUAAUUAUUUUUUUUUGAAUCCUUCAAAAUGAUAAGAGAUUGGUGUGCCCAUUUUAAAUUUUAUUAUUUUUGGUUUUUCAUUCAGAUUUUUAAUUAAAAAUAAUAAAAUAUGUGAUAAAUAAUUAGAUAAUUUAAAUAAAGUAAUAUAAUUAAAUUAGUAAGAAAAAGAUAGAGGAUUUAGAGGAGAUGACAAAAGUGUGUGGGAGAUGAAUUUAAAAUUAGGUUUAGAAUUGAUUAUUUUUAAUACUAGGAUCUUUUGACUUUCGAGUGAUGGUAGUUAAUUUCACAUGGAAUUAUUCUAUUUGGAUAUUUGUAUGUCAAUGUUGAAGAUGUCAUUGAUGGGAAGAGUUGUUAGUUGAGAUAAAACAUUAACGAGGGAUUGUCCAUGAAGAGAGAUGUCAAGGAUAUUAGUUAAUGCAUCUUCAGACAAAAUUAAGGGAUUCUGAGAGUGAGUUUUUUCUAUUUUGAUCCAGCAUGAGUAUAACCAAAUUGUUUUUAGCCUAAGAAUGUCUCAAUAUAAUCAUAUGAAAGAAGUAGAUAUUUGGUUUGAAAAAAAGUUGUAGAUAUUUGGUUUGAAAAAAAGUUGUGAAGGACGGUUCAUCGUGAUUGGUGAAAGUCAUUUUUUUCUAGUACUUUCAAUGAAUGGUAACUUUUUUACCGAUUAGAAUUAGGAGAUUGAGUUUGUACUCGACGGCGGAGGCUAUCUCAUACACUUUUGGGACUUCUAGGAUUCGAUCUUGAAUGUUAUAAUAUUAUAUAUUGAGAGACAAUGAGAUAUAUGGUAUGGACUAUAAUCUCGACAAAGUUUUGGAUAAUUUUAGUGUUGUGAUUCCAAAUUUUGACAUUAACACCCUCUUAAAGCACAUGUUUUAGUGAAUGUCCGUUUUAGUAAAAAUGUUCAGAAUAUAGACACAAAGUUUGAUAUGGCCAUAAGACAAAAAGUAAUUUUUGAUUGUUUGCAAGCAACACAUGGUUAUGAAUUUCUCAUUGUUAUUCCUAUUGAUGGGUUAUGCCAACACGUGUCACCAUUAAAGUAUCUUAUUAUCCUUAUAUAUCAUCUUAUGAUUAUCUUAUUUCUUAUUGAUGAAGUUUUCUCUAUUUGUUACAAGAUGUGCUUGGAUACAUUUGAGAAACAUGAGGUUCAUUGCAAUGAGCUUUCAGAAUUCAAAUACCAACAUGACUUUAUUAGGGAUGUCAUAUUUGGAAUAUUUCGGCACGCUAGACUAUCCGUAAAGAAAAAGAUGUUUGUGAAUUUCUUUACUGACCCACGUGAUUGGAGAUCGACACUUAGGUCAAUAAAUAUUCUGAUGUACGAUUGGGUAGGAAGAAAAUAUGCAUGUGUGGACUUAACUAGAGUUUAUCCACUUGUGGGAAUAAGGAUCAGGUGUUUUAUCAUAAGACAGACAACUCUCAAAGUCGCUUCAAGUAAAAUAGUCAAACAUGAGAAAGCGUGUUCCGACAAACAACAUAUUUUCAUACCAUUUGCGUUUGACACUUUUGGUUUUCUAACACUAGAGAGAGUAAAAUAAAACCGAGUAAAUCUUCGACUGAAAGCCUAAAAAUUCAUACAUAACAAUGUUGUGUCUCGUAGGUCAAUAAAUAUAAUUUUAAAAAAAUAUAGUUUCACAAUCCAAAAUAGAUUAAUCGCAUAACUUGUUCCUGAUUCUCCUUCUAUUUUGCAUUUUAUUUUGAUAAAUCUUUAUUUUAUUUAUUGACUUAAGGUGCUUGAAUCAUUUACCACAUGGAUGAAACUGAUUUUUGGUGUAAGUUUUAUUUGUUUUAUUUUUAAUUCAUAGUAAUAUAAUAAUAAGUUACUAUUUUGAGUCAAUGGUGGUAAUUAGAAAAGUGUUUACACAGUAAUUAGAUUUUCAUAUCUUUAACUUUUCUCUUUAGUGUUUAAGCAUAUUAAUAUAUUAGUUUUCAUAAGCGAUAGACCCGGAUUUGUCUCUCCCAAAAGCACUUUUCCUUAACUUCGAUCUUUAAUUUAAUCAACUUGUUUUGGUUCUAACUAACUUUUGCUUAAUGUGAAUUAUUACGCCCAGCUCAGCUAUAUUAAUUUUCGUUUUGGAGAAAAACACCAAAAGAAUAUUUAAAUAAUAACGUUUAUAACCCAAAAAGUUGUGCUGUUUAUUUUUUUUAAUAAUUGUUCCACAAAAGAUCAAAUUAAAUUAAAACUAGUUUAUACUUAUCUGUGCAUAAUUACCUUGCCUACCCUUCCAUCUUGAGUAACGCCAAAGUUUGAUGAACAAAAUUCAUUUGAAAUUGUAGCAUGCAAUUGUUGAAUGCUAAAAUAUUCAAUGGCGGCUAAUUGAAUAAAAAUAAAAAUGUGAUGAAAUAAUUAAUAUUUAGGUUUUUGUUUCAAAAUUCAAAUUCAAAAGCAUGACUCAUAUACGGUUGAAGAAUUUGCUGUACUUAGACUACAUGAUGUGAAAACACGUGAUCUUAUACAACGUAUUACACACAAAAAAUCUAAAUUUAUACGCCACUAAAAUAGAAAAAGGAGAAGAAAUUGUUUUUUUUAAUUUAUUUAUUUAUAUUAUAUUAUAUUAUAUUAUAUUACGUAUGCGUGGGGUACCCCCAAUAACUAAGAAUGAUUUUUCUUUCUUUUAGAUCUGUCUUUUUCUUUUAGCCUCCAGUAAUUAGUAUUGUAUGGGCCAUGCUGUCUUGCUUUCCAUAUGUUUUAUUCUUUAAUUACAAUUCUUAAUUAAAUAAACAACUUGUUACAAAAUUCUCAAUUAAAAUUAUGUGUACGGAACACGUGUCAAGAAAACUAUAUAGUACAGUCUUGAAUUCAAAAUGCGACUAUAUAAAGUAUUUGACAUUUUAAUUUUAAUUUCUCAAACAACAAAUACUUUUUUCCAUAGUAAAAUAUUUGAAAAAAAUGUUGCGCUUUAGAGUAUAAAAUCGUUAAAAGUAAUUCAAUAUCCAAAAUUAACCUUAUCAUGAGAUGCUCUUUUUGGCCUUAAUCACUAUUUCAUCUCAGCAAUUAAUAUGUAGCCAAGCACUGCAAUGUGUGGUGUUACAAAAAUUGUAACACUCUAAUGUGUAAAAACACUAAUUUAAAAACCGACUUGAAUCGGAAAUUGACGGGUCAAAUUGAGAAUCAGGGAAAUCCAUUUUAAUUGUUUACAAGAUUGAUUAUGUAAUCAAAUUAACAGAAGUCGAUAUAAGUUUUUGUAAAUCAAAGAUGUUUUGGGUCAGGUGCAAGGCCUACAAAGAAUGCCCAAUAACUAGUGUUGAAGAAAAAAAUGUGCAUAAUAAAUGGACCUUCCUUAUUUCAAGGAACACAAUUACACCUUUCAUCACAUCUUUGAUCGUUGGAUCUAAUUGAAUGACAACCUGCACAAGACGUUGAAUCAAGCAUGGAAGGUUUUAACCGUCUAUACUAUAUAAAGACCAGCUUGUAUCAUUUCAAAUAUUCAAUUCAUUUCAACUCUAAAACUAUUUUUCACUCAUUUAUUGACUUGGACGUUGAAGUGUUAAUCUUGCAGGUUCACCCCCUCUCCACCACACCGAAAGUCUUAUCCACCACAUCAAAAAAAUGAUUAUGUUGGAAAUCCCUCAAAAUCUAUGGAGAAUUUCAAUCAAUCUUGAUGAACAAAAUUGUUAUCACCCACAUAAUAACAACGAAAAGAAAGAACAAUGGAGAAAGAAAGAAAUUAAAGAACGAUGAAGGAGAAGAGUAAUAAAAUUCUGCAGACUUUCUCUCUGCCCACAAACUGUGAAACACUUCUGAUUCACUUUGCAACUGCAAGAUACUCUGAAUUACAAGUGUUGUGAAUACUUUGUUCACCUCUUUUUCAAAAAUAAGGGUCACUCCCUCUAUUUAUAGAUUUUAGGUUAACUUUGACCUCAAGUCAAAGUCCAAAACUGUAAAAGUCCAAAAUUAUAAAAACCCAAAAUAGUUAACACUACUCAACACAUUAAGUGGUUCGACACUUCCUUGCUCUGUCGAGCAACCUGCUUCCACACAAGGAAUUACAAUUCAAGACACCACUUAAUUCAUUGUGUAUAAGCUAUCUACAUUCAUCAUAGCUCUUAGCCUUCUGAACACUUCGACUUGCAUUCCCUUCGUCAUGAUGUCUGCAAUCUGAUUCUCAGUUCUGCAGUGUUCCACAUUCAUCUUCCCAUCUGCUACCUGCUCUCGAAGAUAUUGGAACCUCGUCUCGAUGUGCUUGCUUCGACCAUAUGCUAUCGGAUUCUUUGCCAGAUUGAAAGUUGACAUGCUGUCAAUCUUCAUGGUAAUUGCUCCAUGACUCUUCGUUGUUAUCUCUUCAACCAGAUUCAUCACCCAUGUUGCUUGACAUGCACAAAGAGAAGCAAUUAUGAAUUCUUCUUCACACAACGAUAAUGCCACUACUGGCUCUUUUCUCGAACUCCAAGCAACUGGUGCACCACCUAGCAUAAACACAUAACCAGCUGUGAAUUUUCGAUCCUCAACAUCACUACACCAACUUGAGUCAGUGUAUCCCACUAAUUUGCAUUCUUUUCCUUCAUCAGUUGCAGGAAACAAAAUGUCAUAGUCGAGAGUUCCUUUCAGAUACCUUAGUAUCCUCUUCGUUGCUGCUAGAUGUGAUACCUUUGGCUUCUGCAUGAACCUACUUACCAUACCUACAUUGUAUGCUAAGUCAGGCCUUGUGUGACAAAGGUACCGAAGUGACCCAAUAAGUAUUCUGUAUUGGGUUGGGUCUACAUCAUCUUCAUCUGAAUCUUUUGACAGUUGUAAUCUGGGCUCAGCCGGAGUCGAAGUUGGGUUGCAAUCUUGCAUCUCAAAUCUCUUGAGAAUUUCACUUGCAUACCUUCUUUAAUGUAUCAUCAAACCUCUACCACUCUUGUAUAACUCGAUGCCAAGGAAAUAUGAAAUGUCACCCAAAUCUGACAUUUCAAAUUCCUUGUUGAGAUCACUUUUGAAGUCUUCAAUCUCCUUCUUGCAGCUACCUGUUAUCAACAGGUCAUCGACAUAGAGGCAUAGUAUAAGAAAUUCACUCUUGCUUCUUCUUACAUAUACUCCAUGUUCAGAUUUGCACUUUACAAAUUCCUUCUCCCUUAUAAAUCUAUUUAUCUUCUUGUUCCAAGCUCUUGGAGCUUGUUUAAGUCCGUACAGGGCUUUAUGCAGCCUGUACACUUUUCUUUCUUCGCCAUGUUUCACAAACCCAACUGGUUAUGCAACAUAAACUUCUUCUUCUAAGGGGCCAUUAAGGAAUGCACAUUUCACAUCCAUCUGACACAUCUGUCAGUUCUUCAUGUUUUCUAGACCAACAACCAACCUGAUUGUUUUGAUCCUAGCAACAGGUGCAAAAACUUCAUCGAAGUCGAUUCCUUCUUUCUGAAGGAAUCCUUUCGCCACAAGUCUCUCCUUGUGUCGAGUCACUUCUCCUUUGGGAUUCAACUUCACCUUGUAUACCCAUUUCACAUUGAUUGCCUUCUUGUCUUGGGGAAAUUCGACAAGUGACCAAGUGUUGUUGACUUCGAUUGACUUCAGUUCUUCGUCCAUUGCUUUCAUCCACUUCGAAUCUUUCAAUGCCUCAACUGCAUUGACAGGUUCGACAUCUGCGUAGAAAGCAUAAUAUACCAACUCACCUUCUUCAUCGACCAUAUCAUCUGAUGUAAUCACACAUUCUUGCAAUCUUGCAGGCAUGUGUCUUGCUCUUUGAGGUCUGCUUGUACUUGCUUCACCUCUGACUUCUUCCUGUCGAACUUCUCUUUCGACUUCACUAGCUGGUUCAUCACAAAAUAUUCUCGCUGAAUCUUUCUUGACAUUCUCAGUCCAAUCCCAUUCUAUAAGCUCAUCUAUGAUCACGUCCCUGCUGAUCACCACAUGUUUAUUCACUGGGUCGAACAACUUGUAUCCUCCAGUCGAAUGAUAUCCUAUCAGGAUCAUCUGACUCGACUUGUCAUCAAGUUUUCUUCUCAACUAAUCUGGCACAUAUCUAUGUGCUAUGAUCUAAACACCCUCAGAUGACUCAAGCUAGGUUUGACACCAGACUAACAUUCUUCUGGCGUGAUUCCUUAUAUCUUCUUCGUCGGACAUCUAUUCAGGAUAUAUGUCGUAGUCGACACAGCUUCUCCCCAUAAUUCUUUGGGUAGAUGCUUGUCUUUCAACAUACUUCUAACCAUAUUCAUGAUGUUUUUAUUCUUCCUUUAUGCGACUCUAUUCUGUUGUGGAGUGUAGGGUGGCACCACCUCAUGCACAAUCCCUUCUUUCACACAUAAUACAUCGAAAUCUUUCGACACAUAUUCUCCACCACCAUCAGUUCUCAAAAUCUUGAUCUUUCAACUGCUCUGUCUUUCGACCAUAGAUUUAAACUUGGAAAAUACCUCGAUCACUUCACUUUUCUUCUGGAUCAGGUAAGACCACAGUUUUCGACUGAAAUCAUCUAUGAAUGUAAUAAAGUAUUUGUUACCUCCAAUCGAAUCCACCUGGAAAGGACCACAUACAUCAGAGUAUAUGAAUUCAAGAAUUGCCUUCGACCUGCUUCCUGCAUCCUUAUUGAAGUUGUUCUUAUGUUGCUUUGCCUGCACACAUUCUUCACAUACUUCGUUUGGAAUAUCGAUUUCUAGUAAUCCUGAAAUCAUAUUUCUUCUCUUCAAAUCUCUGAUGUCUUUGAAAUUGAUAUGGCCAAGACUGUAAUGCCAUAUCCGUUCAUCUCUAUUGGUUGUUGUUGCAAGGCACUUAUGCUCCAUCACAUUUAGUUCAAUCUUGAAGGUUUUAUUCUGAGACAUUGGAGCCUUCAAGAUCAACCUUCCAAUUGAGUCGAGAACUCUCAUCAUCUUGUCUUCGAUUGACACCUUGUAGUUUUUUUCGACCAACUGCCCUAUGCUGAGCAAAUUACUUUUCAUGCCUGGUAUGUACAACACAUUUGAAAUUACUGACAUCUUGCCAUCUUUCUUCAUAAUCAGAACAUCACCAACACCUUUAGUUGUUAGAGUGUUGUCAUUUGCAAAUUUCACCAUGUUCUUCAUUGAGGGCUUUAUGUUGACAAACCAAUCUUUCCUUCUAAACAUGUGUGAUGAUCAUCCUGAGUCCAAGUACCACUGGUCCUUGAAUCUUUAUUCUUCUUUUGUUGUAACCAUCAGCAACGUCUCUUCUUCUUCAUGUUUUUCCAGCUUUGCAUAAGUUUCUUGAUUCUUCUGAUUUUCUGGACAAUCACUAGAAUAGUGAACAUAUAUUUGACAAUUGUAAACUGAAUGUGACUCUUGUAUGGCUUUUGACCACCACCUCUUCCUCUACCUGCAACACCACCUCUUUGGUUGCCUUGGUUCCAGGGUUUUCUCUGAUCUGACCAGAUUCCUUCUGGCUGAUUUCAACCAGUCGAAUUAUUGUAACCUCCUCCGCCUUUGUUGUCAUUCCAGCUUCCUUUGCCUUUUCUUUCUUUUGUUGAUUGAGCCUGCAAAGCCAUAUCACUCUUCGACUUUCCUGCAGCUCUUUUAACCAUUCUUUGUUCAUGAGAUUUAAGCGUCCCUUGAAGCUCUUCCUUUGUCAAUUUUGACAAAUCUUUCGACUCUUCUAUGGCUACUACCACAUGGUCAAACUUUGGAGCCAACGACCUCAAGAUCUUUCCAACAACAGAUCUUGAUGUAAACAUUUCUCCACAUACCUUGAUUUGAUUCACCAAUUUCGUAACCUUAGUGAAGAAAUCAGUUAUGCUUUCAUUGUCUUCCAUCAGAAGCAGUUCAUACGUUCUUUUGUGAGUUUGUAACCUCGCCUCUUUCACCUUCUUCGCGCCUCCAAACGAUUUCUCCAUAAUUUCCCAUGCUUCUUUUGCUGACUCUGCAUCACUAACCUUUUCAAAGUUAUCUGCAUCAACACAUUGAUGGAUUAUAAAGAGAGCUUUAUAAUCUUUCUUCUUCUAUUCUUUAUGUGCAACAUUUUCUUGACCUGUCGCGGUUUCUGCAAGCGUUGAUACUCCUUCCUUCACAAGAUCCCAAAGAUCUUGAUAACAGAACACAACCUUUAUCUGCUUGCACCAAUUCUCAUAAUUGUUAUUCUUGAGAAUCGGAAUAUUUGCUGGAAAAUGCUCGUUUGGAUGAUUCGUUGCCAUGGUGAUUUUCUUCCCACAAAUCAAUUAAACUGGAGCUCUUGAUACCAAAUGUUGGAAAUCCCCUAAAACCUAUGGAGAAUUUCAAUCAAUCUUGAUGAACAAGAUUGUUUUCAUCCACACAAUAACAACGAAAAGAAAGAACAAUGGAGAAAGAAAGAAAUUAAAGAAUGAUGAAGGAGAAGAGUAAUAAAAUUCUGCAGAGUUUCUCUCUGCCCACAAACUGUGGAAAACUUAUAAUUCACUUUGCAACUGCAAAAUACUGUGAAUUACAAGUGUUGUGUAUGCUCUGUUCACCUCUUUUUCAAAAAUAAGGGUUACUCCCUCUAUUUAUAGAUUUUAGGUUAACUUGGACCUCAAGUCAAAGUCCAAAACUAUAAAAGCCCAAAAUAGCUAACACUACUCGACACAUUAGGUGGUUCGACACUUCCUUGCUCUGUCGAGCAACCUGCUUCGACACAAGGAAUCACAAUUGAACAGAUUCUUCGUAUCUGAGCUUUAUUCCAUCACUUCAUCACCUAUCUCUAGUUUCCGAACGAAACUAUAUCCCAUCUUUGAGAAUCAACUAUUAAUUCCAUCCAUUUAUCCAUGAAAAAUCAUUGUCUUUUCACCGAAGAUUCAUAUUAUUGAUCUUCUUUUCACAAAACACUGAUCUCUUUCUCGAACCAUUGAUCAAAUAUCAAACUCGUAAAGCCACGGUGACGUCAAAGGUUAAUAGAUAUGUCGCUCAAUAUCACGCCCCUACUACGGUCAUUGAAGCUAACAUUGUUCCACCUCAUUCUCCAAUAGAAGAAGAUCUAGUUCUAGUGAUUAUAUCUUAGUACAAUAGCAAAACUCUUAAGCCUUGGUAGAAAGGAUACUCAAGAUUGAAGAGAGCCUGAAGUGAGCUCCUUCGAAAACUAACACUACAACACUCCAAAAUUUGAUUAAUUUAAUUAAUCAGAUUAUUAGUAUUAUUUAUUUAAUAUUGGUAUGUGGUGUAUUUUAAUUAAAUAUGUAUGUUGAUUUGUAUGUAUAUGUGGGGCCUUAAUGGGGUGUAGUGAGAGUGUUGGUAGGGUGAUAGAAGGACUAGAAAGACUAAAAUAAUUAAAUAAUUAGAAUUAACUUUGAAUUACUAAUUAAAAUAAAAUAGAAAAAGAGAUUUGGGUGUAAUAAUAGAAAAUUAGAGAAUAUGGGAAGAGUGGUGAAAAUUAUAACUUGCAUUGGGUCAUAAUGCAAUUUUUAAGAAAUUUAAUAAUUAGGUUAGAAUAUAUUGUAGUUAGUAAAGUUUUCGGAGAAAAAGGAAUACGUAAAAUAAAAUUUUAGAGAAGGAAGAGGCUAGGGCUAGGAGAACCUCCAUUGAUAGAGCUUGAAGGUCGUUUGCUGGAAAAUCUAAGGUAAGGAGGGGAUUACUCCUAAUAUGAUGUAUAUUGUAUGAACUGGGUAGAGGAAAAUCCUUAAUCUCAUUAGGUUUUUCUCUAUUUUUUCCUUUUUUGUUGAAAGAUUGAUGAACAUGCAUGAGAUUCUGAAAUAGCAUGGAUUAUAUGAUGUGUUAUGUGAUUUUGGGUGUUCAUGUUCAUGAUGUUUGUAUGAAUUGGUGUUCAUAUGUAGGUAAUGAUUUUGAUGACUAAAGCAUGUUAAAUCCAUGAUUAAUCUAAUGAAAUGCAUCUUCAUUGAAGGAUAAAUGACAUGUUGUUGUUCGACAACAUUUUCCUGAUUGUUGUUAUUCGAUUUGAGGUCUGGGAAGGUAAAAUUAGAGUUAUGUUUUGAACUCCAAUGAAAAGAACACCAUGUUUGUCAUGUGUUGCGAAGCGCUGAUGGGCGUCAGCUAUCUGACGGGUAGACCGUCAUGGCCCCCAAGCACUUUAUUAUGAGGUGAUCGUCAUAGUGAUGACGUGUAAGGUGACAUGGGGGUGACGGGGGUCACUAGGUGACGGGUAACCCAUUAUGCUGCUAGAAUGUGCAUCGUUCGCUCAUUUGCUUAUGAUUGUGUGUUAGUUCCUAUUUUUGGUGUUGUGUUGUCAUUAGGCUAUUAUUUGACCACUGUUUGGAGAUAUUUUUGUGAUAUUUGUUAAUGAAUGCUGAAUUAAUCAAUUAUUAUGAUGUUGUACAUAAUUGUGAUGACUGUAUGGUGAUUAUUUGGUGAUAAUGCAUGUUAUGUGAAUCAUGCAUCAUGGUGUACGGACUUCGGUCCAGUUUUAAUGUGCUUUGGUCCGAUGGUGUGGAUUCAUAAGCGAGUAACUGGUUCCAAAUGAGAAUAAGUGAAAAGUUACUUAUGGUGAUAUUAGUGAUUUGGUGUGCUCUGGUCCUAUGGUGGGGAUUCAGGAGCGAGAUGGAGAUGUGUUGUCCAUAAUGGUACCGCAUGCAUUAUUGAGUCGUGGUGUUGAGUAUAUUUCCAUUCAUUAUUUGCAUAUGUAUUGAAUAAUCAUGUUGAUAUUGGUGAUUGAGAAUGCUUUGGUGAUGUAUGUGAUUAAUUUGUGUUGAAAAUUGUUGAUGUUUGUUUAGGCUACCCUUGCAUACUUUUGCGCUGUUAUAUAUUAUGAGUGUAUUCUCACCCCUUUGUUGUUUGUAUGGUUUUAUGCUCCUUCUUAGGGUACAGACAAGCAGGUAAAUGUAGUUGCUUAGUAGAUGAAGGAUGUCGUUGAAUAUGUUCUUCUUUUCCUGUUUUAUGUGAUAUUUAGAGUUUUGUUGCUAUGAUAUGUAACACUGUUGUCGCAUUACGCGAAAAACCGGCGGGAAAAAGAAACAGAGCCGCCAUUGUGCGUUAUUUAUCCCAAAGGAGGGAAAGGAAACGCUCGAAGUAAACCUGGAAAGGAAAUGAUCUCACGACCAGAGAUUGAUAGGAUCGGGAGUCGGUUAUGCGAAGGGAAGGUAUUAACACCCCUACGCAUCCGUCGUACUCGACGGGAUCCACGCUCAAAAGAGUAGAAGAAAGGUUGCUAAAUAACUGCUCAAACACUGCACACAACUGGAGACACAGAUGAAAGACGGAGGAAAGGGACUCGGCAGGAUAUCGCAUCCUGGGCCUACGUAGUUUGUUAGACACAAACAUCAGAGUCGACUUAGUUCGGGGAUAGGGGAAACGUGCUCGCUAGGAUGUCGCAUCCUAUGCAUACGUAUCUUCUCUAACCAGAGAAAGAAUCAGAGCACUCGUAGCUCGGAUAACGCACGCCAAACAAAAUGCUAAACGGAGAUGCUGAGACGUCAAAGCAAACACACAACUGGAAACGGAAUGUCAAUCGCUGGUCUUACAUCCAACUCCAGACACACAAAGCAAAACAGGAAACCGACUGCCAAUCGCUGGACUUAUGUCAGACUCCAAACACACACACACACAGGAAACCGAAUGCCAAUCGCUGGACUCACAUCAGACUCCUACCAGAAAGGGAUAAACAACUCACACAAAAAGAAAAGAGAGCGAAAGGGCGCCCGGAGAGAUCAGCUCAUCUCCUGCCUACGUACCUCAUCUGGUAUGAGGAUCAGGGCGACGUAGUUCCCCUUAACAGGGAAAGGACUUCUAUCCUAACCAGAGACUAGGGAGAUAACAAGCUACUAGGGAGACUACGACUCGAGCCUAGAAGUUGUCAUGCAUACGAUCCCUAUGUUGAGGUCUCUAAUCCUAACUUGCACAGGAAGCAAGCUAGCCUAAACUGCACAUCAGCAAACACAAGCACAGAGAGCAAGCACACACACUAUAUGCAAACAAGUGGCUCAUACAAGGCUGGGCUUUAGUCAAGGGGUCAAAUCAACCUCGACAAACAAGCAACUAGAAAGGGUGUUUUGAGCUCUUAACCCUAACAUUGAGAGUUAGGGAAGCAGAUGAAGUGGCGAUGAGGGUUAUGCCUCAUAGCUCUUAUCCCUGGCCUGGGAGAGCUUUUAAUCAAUAGAAAGUGUGGGAGUUCAGAAUGAAGGAACUCUUCUCCACAAAUGACUGACUCUAUGGACAAGAUUUUGGGUUUUUUAUUCAAAGUGCAUCAACACAUGGUGUGAGCAAAGUGAAUGAGACAACUGAAUAGCAGGGGAUGGAUUGCACAUCCCUUCUAUCUGCCAAUUGCCUCUUCACUUAGGAGGUCUUUGAAUGUACAAGGCACAAAGAUAAACAACCACAAGCAUUGCCUCUUAAGGAGGGCUUCAGACAAGUUCCUGCCAAAGUAACAGCAGGUCUUCCAGACUACAUGAAGAUCAAGGAUUAUACCUAAGUGGUAUGCCAACCACAAGCAAAGCAAAGUUCAAAUGAACUCAAAGCAACUUAGGUACCUGUGUAAACAACUAAACAAAUCAGUACAGUAUUCAAACAAACAGACAAUAGUCAACAACAAACAGACAAUCCCAAUCAGACAACAAUGGUGCAAGGCAUAAGGUAAACUCAAGUGAAUUAUCAUCAACCUACAAAGCAAACAAAUGUUAGCAAUCAAUAGCAAAUAUCAACAUUCAGGUGAAGCAACAUCAACCAUGGAGAUUAGGUGCUUGGUCCUGAAAUUCAAAGCUCACAUGUAAGUACAAACCACUAGGUCAAAGCCUAGGGUCAAAGGUGAAGAAAAAAUUCAAAACAGGAGCUAAUAUUCAACACAAUGCAACUUCAAACACAUAUUAACAUGUCCUAAAAAGGACCAAAACAAACUCAUCAAGCAAAGGCAUAUAAUGUGCAAGAGAAGUCAAAGACAAUUUCAAAGCUCAUAUUUGGACAUUGAGAAUGAAAAUUCCAAAUCAAAACAGAAAUGAUUCAAAUAAUUCUGGAAAAAUUCAUGAGAAUUCAACACAUCCAAUACAAUCAUCAUACAAAAAUCAGAAGCAUCCAAGUUCAAAUGGCAUGGAAAUAAAAUGGCACAAGUUAGACAUCCAAAUGUGUGACACAAAUUGUCACACCAUACAAACAUGUGCAUAAAACAGAAAUGACAAAUGGGAAAAAUACCAAACCAAGCCUAAAACAUCCAUCAACAUGUCAAGAAUCAUCAUGCAAAAUUUCAUGGCAAUUGGAUUAAAAUCAAGCAUUUCAUGAUAAGAUGAAUGGAGAAAGGUCACAAAUGUACACAUGUUCACAAAGUCUAGCACAAUCCAUAAUCCAGCCAUGCAUAACUUCAUAAUUUAACAUCAUAAAAUAGAGGACAUCUCAAGGGUCAAGUAGCAAAAAACCAGGGAUUUUUUGGAGCAUUUUUCAAUUUAUUAUGAAUUUUUAAAGUUGGAUAAAAAUUUGAAAUCAAAAUAAUCAUGUACAUGGAAAAUAUGGAGGGAAUUGGAUAAAAUGUGAAUGUAUUUGAAAAAAUGAUGUGCGCCAGGAUCGAACCGUGUACGAAUUUGAAAGAAGCGCGCGCCAAUAUGAAACGCAGCCGUUUUGGGCAAAAACCCUAGCCAAAACCAGAGUGGACGCAAAACCGUCGCUAAGUCGUCGCUACAUCGUCUUCCUCGCGAAGACGAUGAUGAACAAUAUGAGCUUCAACAUAUUUUUCCAGAAUUUUCCAGAAUUUCAAAAAUCAUACAUCAUUUUAAAGCUCUUUCAACCAGGAAUUCGGAUCAACCAAUAACUAAUCCUAAUUCAACAUGAAUAGAGAGAAUCGAGCAAAAGAAGUUUGGUGCACAAAACUUUAUUCACACAUAUCUCAGUCAAUAAUGCAUCAUUUCAUGUGAAAUUUAGCUCAGAAUCAUCAGCAAAGAGAGAUCUACAAGAACAUGCUAAUGAAUUGCAAAAUUAUGAGGUUCGAAAACUUGACCUCUUAAGCAAAGAGAGAUCUACAAGAACAUGCUAAUGAAUUGCAAAAUUAUGAGGUUCGAAAACUUGACCUCUUGAAGAGCAGAUUCUUGAAAUGCACGAUUCCAGGCCUUGAAUGAUCCAAAUCCAAUCCAGAACACUUGUAAUGAUGUUUGAUGAAGGAAAGGAAGCUUGAAACCGUGUAGAUCUAGCUUAUCAAUCAACUUCCAUUCUUGAGUUCUUGCUUGAAUUAUGCAUGAAUUCUUACCAAAAUCAAAUGAUCCAAAGCUUGAUUCUCCAUCUACUACACUCAAUGAUUCAGAAUAUCAAAGAAAAAUGCAAGGUUAUGUGAAGAAAUUGCAAGUUUUUGUUGAGAGGAAAAUUUUGAUAUGAGAUGAAAACUAGAUCUAAAAUGGUGAAAAAUGAUUAAGCCCCCUGAAAUUCUGUUAGGUUUAAGUAUUUAUAUGCUCUCUUAAUCACAUUGCUAAUCCAUACUUAAUUUGGUUAAUUGAAAUUAGGCAAAAUAAGGUGUUUUGACAAAAUUUCAAAAAUGCAUGGUGCAUGUAGUAAACCCACGUGAACAGUGUCAUGUGCUUGAUCAAAGUCACUCAAAAUCAUUUUUAAACACAUGGCAAUGUAAAAGAGGUUCCCAUGAUGGAUCAAUUUUUACAAUUUCCAGUUCCCUCAAAAUACAUGGAAUAGCAAAUGAUCAUAUGAUGGAAAUUCAUGCAAUGUGAUGAAUGGUUUGGAAACUUCAUGUCAUGACAAGCAUUUUAGAAAAAGAGGCACCAAAUUUGGAGUUAUGAAUCAAAAGUUAUGUCCUCUUGAAGUUCCAUGCACACUUGGAAAUAAUUGGAUCAUAUCUCCUCAACUAUUCAUCAGAUGCUCAUGAUCUUGGACUUUUUGGAAAUGGGAGAGAAAUACCUUCAACUUUCAUGUUGGACAAAAUUUAAUUUGAAGCUUAUUUAAUGUUGGAAAGUCAAGUUGAAGUUGGUCCAAAAACUUGCCAUUUUUGGAAACUUGAAAUUAUAGGUCACUUUCCAUUUUGGGAAACUUUUGAUCUGGCUUCAAAAUCUUCAAGGUAUGAGUUUGAUAUGAUGAAUAAACCUCCUUUGGACACUAAUGAAGUGUCUCAACCCAUCUCUCCACCUCCUAGCCCUCUGUUGACUUGCAGUUGACUUUUAUGGGUCCCAGAUGACCUGAAACUGCACUGUGGACUUUGAGCCUCUAACACUUGGUCAAGUUGCUUCAAAAUGAACCUUGGGUUCACAUAAGCUCUCUAAAACAACCAUAGGGCCUUUUUCUCAUGGAAAUGCUUGCUCCUUGGUACUGAUGAAUUCUCCUGAUGCCAGUCUUGACUGAUGAGAUGCAAUGUACUAUGCAAUGUUAAUGUAAUGUCAAUGUGAUGUCAAUGACCUAAAAAUGAAAUGAAUGCAUGAAUGGGGGGUGAAAUGUACGGAGCAAGUUUAUGUUGUGUUUGAGUGACACCUUAUAUGUGUAGUUGUUUUAUAUUCGUGUUAUUUCAUGUUUCGGGGUUUAGUGUGUUACAUAGUAUGACCACGUGCGAGGCGACUUCAUAUCACAACCAAGGAGUCAUACCGCAAUUGACUUUAAUAUCUGAUGUUUCAUUGUACGCGGUAAUCUCGAGAUCGCAAGGAUGUAACUCGAAUCCAAAAGGAUAAGUGGUAGUCAUACUCCACCAAAAGUUUUUCAUCCUUGUAGAUUGUCAGCAUACCACUCUGAGAGAGAGAGAGAGAGAAGAAAGGCACAAUGGAGAUAAAUCAUCCUCUGAGCAAAAAAGGGACUCUUUCUCCAUACAUAUUCUUGACAGCAUGAUCCUGAGGUCCCUUGAAAAUCCCCCAAAGCUAGAAAGUUACGAUGGUACGGGGUACACGGACGAACAUGUCAAACAUGUAGACAACGAAUUCGAUUAUUACCACGUCCAAGGAGUUAUGAAAUGCAAGUUAUUCACAUUAACCAUUAAAGGAUCUAGUAUGACCUAGUUUAAAACCAUCCUAGGAAAAAGCAUGGAUUCAUGGAAGGAACUUUGUGACUCAUUCACUUUUUAAUUUACCACUCAAAAUUGACAACCCACCACCGUAGCCAUAGUCAGUAGGAUCACACACAAGAAUAAACAGACCAUACGAGAGUACAUAGAUCAAUUUACCAAGGUAACAGAGGAAGUAUAAUGUAUAUAUUAUGGAUAAAAAAUUGGAUAUUAAAAAAACUGAGGCCAAAUUGCAUGUUUCAAGAAAAACUAAGGCUCAAGAGACCUACUGAAUAGGCUCCAGCCUUGGAUCAACUACUAGGAAGAGCUCUUAGCCAAAGAGAAAACUAGGGAAUAAUAGAUCUUGGAUAUGACCGGGCAUCAUAAAAAGACACUAACCAUCGUAGAGACGACAGAGACUAAAGAUCGUCGUGGGAGAAAACCUGGCAGGAAUGCACAAAUACUAAAUUCAAAUAAGGUGAGAUCAAGAACCUCUGUCCAGUUAAAGAGUCAUCUAAGACAAAUAAGUCAAAAUAAUGUUAUUUACAUAAAUGUCACGACCACAACACUAAUGAAUGCAUCCACCUAAAAGAUAUAAUUGAAUAUUUGGUCAAAAUGGGACUACUCACCUGAUAAUACCCAGGAAGGAGGUCGGAGAGAAAAUCGAGACUUAAAGAGAGGUCAUAAGGGGUUGGAUGAGUCUCCAGGGAAGAAACGAUCAUCUCAGCCAGAGAAAUAAAGAUAGUAGCAACGAGGAAGAUGAAGAUCAAAAAGGGAGGAAAAAAAGGUACAUCGCUUCCAUUACUAGAGGCUUUCCCAUAGAAAAUACCAUUCCAAUGGGACAAUGAAGAUUAAGAUUACUGAAUUAUUGGAAAUUAGCAAAGAGGGAGAAAUAACUCCUGGCAGGAACCCAUAAAGGAUUAUCCUCAUAUUCAUAUAUAAUGUAAAGGUAGGCGGAAUCCCAAACUAGAUUUCCCCAUUGGUGGUAACGAUUACCAUGACCAACUUUGAUGUAUCCAGGACCCUUAUUGACAGGGGGGCUCUUGCUACAUUGUGUACGAAGAGCUUUUAGAAAUACUUGGACUAAGAAGGGAGAAGUUGUGGUUGUAUGAGGAAUCCUACCUACAAUUCUUUAACGACAUGUAACUGACCCAUGGGGGUAUAUUGAGUUGAUGGUUACCCUGAGAGAAUGGAGAGUCACCAAAAUGAUCUGUUGGACAAGUGACUUCAAGUGUAACACCCUACUUCCUGAAUCGACAAAUAAUAGAAUAAAACAGGUAUAACACUUAUAUCCUCCAAAGUAGGAUGCUACUCAACAACAAUUAACUCAUAUUUGAACCACAAAAUUAAAAUCAACUUGUUUGAUAAGCAGCGAAAAAUUAGAAAAUGGUUGGCAUAAAAGCCUCAAUAACCAAAAGUUUGGAAAAUGGUUCAAUGUUAAAAGCAAAUGAAGAUAUGCAACAUGAAACAAAUAAUAGAACAAGUUGUCCCCUCUUGUUACAUAUUAGAGUAACUCCAACUAUAGACUCUAACAGCAAGCAACUAAAGAGGAAAAACAUUAUGCUCAAGCUUAAGCUCCUACUUGGGUAUUUGAUCAUCUGUACUUCGGAGGAGCACAGACGCAAAAACACAAAAAGGGGGAGAGAAUAUAUUCAAAUGAUAAAUGAUGCAUAAAUAAUUAGGAUAGAUUUGCACACUAUAAAAUCAUCCACAUAUUAGAAAUGCACAUCAACAUCAUGUAUUCACAUCUCACUCACAUCACAGUCAAACUCACACAAUCAUACAAGAGUAUUCAUAAAUACACAAACAUCUCAUUUUCAUAAUUAUUAUAUAUUGCAAAGAAUAGCUAGUCCGUUUAAUGUAUCAAGUGUGACUUAAUCAUGAGAUCUCAUUAAACACGAGGACACUAUUAAAGUAUCUAUAGUUGAGCUUUGUUGUGAAGUGGGAUAACAUUAAAUCAUUAAGACUAUUAUGUAUAUAGACUGAUGAUCACAUCUCAUAGAUCAUGGAUAAGGAGUUAAGUCUUAAACAUAUGUAUGAAUAUUAUGAGUAAUAUUUAUACUGGAUUGACCCGCUAUGAGAAUACUACAUAGAAUAUUAUGCAAAGUGUCAUAAGCUAUUCUCAUGGUGAUAGUGGUGUAUACCACCCUUCGACCUAAAAUCAUUAUGGACCCUAGAUGUAGAGUCGAGUGCUUUAUUACUGAUCAAACAUUGUCCGUAACUGGAUGACCAUAAAGACAGUUGAUGGAUACUCCACGAAGCAUGUUAAGGGACAUGAGUGGCCUAAAUGGAAUUUGCCCAUCCUGCAUAACAGGAUAAAUAUCUAAGGGCCCAAUAUUGAACUAGAAAAGGAUGAUACGGUAUAUGCCUUGUGUCCAAUAUAGACAUAAGAGAAAAAGGGUAAUUGUACACACAAGUAUUAUCACAAAAAGGGAUUUGUCGUAUCACAUGACAUUUUUGUGUCUUGGGUAGCAGUGAUGUGUUUCUAGAUACCGCUUAUUGUUUAUUAUGUUAAAUACAUGACUUAAUAUAAUUAUCAAUGUCGCGAAAACCUACAGGGUAACACACAAAAGGACGGAUUGAUGAGAGAUAGAGUAAAUAAGGAACACCAUAAGGUAAGGUGCACUUAAGUGAAUUGUAGAACAUCAUAAGGUAUGGUGAACUUAAGUAUAAUACAAAAUAUGGUAAGGUACCACGCGCUUAAGUGAUUUUAGGUAUACCAUAAGAUAUGGUCCACAUACACUUAAGUGGGCUUUUUAGCUUGCAGCCCACACAAGUGGUUAUAUAAAUAGAACCCUUGUGCAAAAGCAUUUCACUUGAUGAAAUUUUAUUUCUCUCUCUCUCUCUCUCACUCAAAGCCUUCAUUCGUAGCAGCUAGCACUGAGACUGAAGGAAUUCGUUUGUGUGGACUGAGUAGAGGCGUUGUCACCAUUCAACGCUCGUGAUCACUCCUUAGAUCUGCAUCAAAGGUUUCAAUCGCAAUAAGAGGUAACUGUUUCUAUCAAUAAUCAUGUCCAUUCAUAAGGAUCACCAAAGGAAAAAUUUUAAUUUCCGUUGCGUUUUCGAUCGCAAUUUUCCUUCAUGAAGAACUCCAGCUUUCCCAUCAUACUCAUCUCUAACUCAGCAUGCAUUGUCUUUGAAAAUUCUUGGCAAAGGAAGGCAUUAGUUGAACCAAAUAUAAUAUCAUCUACGUAAACUUGGACAAUUAAGAUAUCAUUCUUAAGUUUCUUUUUGAAGAGUGUAGUGUCAACUUUCCUUUUCUGAAAGCCAUUUUCUAGCAAAAAAUUACUCAGUCUCUCAUACCAAGCUCUAGCAGCUUGUUUGAGUCUAUUAAGUGAUUUCUUAAGUUUGAAAACAUAGUCUAGGUGGACUGAAUCCUCAAACCCAAGUGGCUCUUUGACAUACACUUAUUCAUAAAUAACUCCAUUUAAGAAUGCACUCUUAACAUCCAUUUGUUAAAAAAUAAUGUCAUGAUUAAUAACAUAAGAGAGCAGUAACCUGAUUGCUUCAAACCUUGCAACUGGUUCAAAUGUUUCAGAGAAAUCUAUACCUUUUUUGUGGUUGUAGCCUUGAGCUACCAGUCUAGCCUUAUUUCUUACCACUUCUCCUUGCUCAUUGAACUUGUUUUUGAAUAUCCAUUUUGUUCCAACAAUGUUCUUCUACAAAGGUUUGGGUACUAGAUCUCAGACAUCAUUUCUUUGAAAAUUAUUCAACUCUUCUUGCAUUGCCACAAUCCAACCAUCAUCAGAAAGUGCUUCAUCAACAUAAGUGGUUUCAUUCAUGGAGAUUAGUCAUAACAUUGAAUGCUCUGCUCUAAAUGCAGACCUUGUCUUUCUAAAACUAUCUUUGUUUCCAAGAAUUAACUCUUAUGGAUGAGAAGACUUGUACUUGAAAGUCUUCUUGAUUUGUGAUGCAUUUGAGGAGCCAUCUUGAGCUUAUUUAGAAUAUUUAACCUAUGGAUGAGCCUCUGAGGUUGGAUUAACUUCUGGACCACUAGAUUUUGAAGUUAUGAUAACUUCUGAACAUCCAACGUCUAAUGAAUUGUUAGCUUCUGAACUUCCAGCUUCUGUACCUAUAGCUCCUGAUGUGUCUUCAGAUACAUAUAUUUUUUGAAAAAAAAUUAAACUAGCUCUAAAUAUGAUUAUUAGGCUCUUUGUCAUCAAAUUUUAUGUGUAUUGACUAUUCAUCCAUAUUGGUCUUAGAGUUAUACACCAUAUAUUCCUUUAAACGUUCAGAGUAUCCUAAAAAGAUACCCUUAUGAGCUUUGACAUCAAAUUUCUUCAAAUAGACUGUAUUGUUUAAGAUGUAACAUGUACAUCAAAACUGAUGAAAGUAAGAAAUGCUUGGCUUUCUUCCCUUGAACAACUCAUAUACAGUCUUGUUCAGAAUAAGUCUAAUAUAGAUUAUAUUAUGAACAUAACAUGUUAUGUUUACAACUUCUGCCAUCAAGUACUUAGGUAAGUUAUUUUCAUGGAUCAUAGUUCUAGACAUUACUUGUAAAAAUUUAUUCUUUCUCUCUACGAAUCCAUUUUGCUGUGGAGUUCUAGGAGAAGAGAACUCAUGGAGAAUUCCAUGUUUUUCACAAAAAAAAAUCAAAUGGCUCAUUUUCAAAUUCACCACCAUGAUCACCUCUUACCUUCAAAAACUUUAUUUCAUUUUCUAUUUGUACUUGUAUGCAGAAGAUGUUGGACACAUCAUAUGAUUCAUACUUGGUUCUAAGGAAUUAAACCCAAGUCCUUCUGUUAUACUCAUCAACAAUGACUAGUCCAUAUUUAUUCCUAUUGAUUGAUGCAACACUAACAGGACCAAACAAAUCAAUGUGAAGUAGUUCUAAGGGCCUGGAGGUAGAGACAACGUUUUUAGUUUUGAAAGAAGUGUUACUAAUUUUUCGACUUGCUAAGUUUAGAGAUUAAUCUCCAGUUAGCAUGACCUAACCUUUUGUGCCAUAGCCACUUCUCAUCACUCACUAAUAGAAGGUAGAGUACCUUCUGAUCAACCAAUUCAUGAAAAUUAAUUUAAUAAACAUUUCCUUUCCUCCUACCUUUGAAUAUUAUGAACUUGUCAAAUUCAUUCAUGACUAUGCAGUUGUUCUUAUUAAACAUGACUUCAUAACCAAUGUCACAAAACUUACUAAUGCUCAGUAGGUUAUGUUUAAGUCUAUCUCCAAGCCAAAUAUUAUUAACUGAGAUAGAGGAGUUACCAGUAGUACCCAUACCAGUGAUCUUUCUUUUCUGAUUUCCUCUAAAUCCCACAGUUCCUCCCCCUUUCUGAGUUAGGGGUUUUGAACAUAUGCCUUUCUCCUGUCAUAUGUCGUGAGUAACCAUUGUUCAGGUACAAUGAUUGCUACUUUGCUUCUCUCUUGAAGCAUAUAUGUAGCAAAAACAAUUUGAAAUUUAGGUACCCAUAUGAUAAGGCUUAGCAUUAUUCAAAACUUUUGAUUUAGAGUUUGUUGACUUGAAUAAACCUUAGCAUUAGGUUAUGAACCUUUCAGAGCCUUAAAUUCAGAUAUCUUAGGUUCUGGCUUCUUUAGAACCUUUGACUUUAUAAUCUUAGAUUUUGAUUUCUUCAGAACUAUUGACUCAGCAACUUUAGGUUUUGACUGAUUCAGAACCUUUGCAUUCUCAGUACCAGGUGCAAAAUAAUAUUCAAGCCCUUUCUGAACAGAUAUUGAAGAAGAAUGAUAUGUUGGUUUACUCAAGGUUCCAAACCUUGAAUUAAAAGGUUUCUAUAAGUAACCAAAACCUACCCCGUUGCUUUUACUUACUCCAUAAACCAUGGAAGAAAGUUUAGUUCUAUUAAAAUCAAUUAUGAUAAAUCCUUGAAGAUCCAUUUCAUGAUCAUCAAGAGGUUAAUCAGACACUUCCUUUACUAGAUAAAUACGAUAUUUCUCUAGAGAUUCAUUUUUACUUUGAACAAAAUUUAAUUCUUCCUUCAAAAGAUCAUAUUGCUUUUUAAAUAUUUUCAUGUGUCUGACUUUUUCUUGACAUCUUCCCAUGGAUAUUGAAUGAAAGUAAUAAAAUCAGAACGAGAUAGUUUAGAAAAUACCUUAUCCUUUUCCUCGGAAUUUGAACCAAAACCUGAGUCAUAUUAUGCUUCAGAAGAUGUAAGAUCCAUCAAAGCAAAGUUGGCUUGCUCUUUAUCCUUUUUAGAGUCUUCUUCAUUGCCAAGUUCAUCCCAUGUUGCCAAGAGAAUUUUAUUGAACUUAUUUAUGAAGCUUCCCUUCUUUGACUUGUCCUUUUGCACUUCGGGACAAUCAACAAUGAAGUGACUAGACUUCUUGCAGUUGAAGCAUCCUUUAUUAUCAUCCUUCUUUUCUAUGGAACUAGAUCCUCGGAAGCCACUACUUUUUACAGAGAAUAUUUUAUUCUUCUUAGCCAAAUAUUGAAACCUUUUAAUGAUAGAGGUCAUUUCCUCAUCAUCUGAGUCAUCUUCAGAACCUUUUACAUGAAAAAAGCUUCGUCAGACUCCCAAACUUGAGGAGCCUUUGCAGUUUUAGUAACAUAUUUCAAAUCCAUAGGUUUUGGCUUCUUAACAAGUUAAUCUCCACUCAACUCCAUCUUAUGGCUCUGGAGAUUUCUGAUAAGACUUUCAAGACAUAAUGUGUUUAAGUCUUUAGUCUCCUGGAUAGUUUUCACUUUUGGUAUGUAUAUAAUAGGAAGACUCCUAAGAAUCAAACAACAAAAAAUUAAAAGUUGUUAAGAGUCCCACAUCGGACAAUAUAUGGCAUGAACAUCUGUUUAUAAGUGGGGGCAGUCCUCACUCUAUCAACCGGUUUUGUAGGGUUGAGUUAGGCCCGACCACAUUUCUUAACAUGGUAUCAGAGCCUCGUUUAAGAUCCGGUGGGCCACCUACUAUGGUUUCCGCUAUCGGGUCAUCCACCAUUUAUUUCCCACGCUCCAGAUGUCCAGUCCUGGGCAUGAGGGGGUGUGUUAAGAGUCCCACAUCAGACAAUAUAUGACAUGAACAUGUGUUUAUAAGUGACGACAGUCCUCACUCUACCAACCAGUUUUGUAGGGUUGAGUUUUAAGAGAAGUGAAAUUACAAUAUUUACUAUGAUGUAUCAAAUUUAUUUUGCAUUUACUGAACCAUUGAAAAACUCAUAUUUAUUUUUUAUUUUAUAAUUUAUUUAAUAUAAUAUUAAUUAUAUAUUUUAUUUAUUUUAAAAUAAAAUGAGACCCUUUAAUUUAGAAGUUUUUAACUAUUAACCGUCUUGUCCUUACUCAUAAUUGAUCCUAUUAGAAUAAACAUUUGAGAAUAAAAGUGAAUAAAAUUGCUAGCACGAAUCCUUACUAAAUCAUGCACUUUAAUCAAUUUAUUUUAAAAAAAAAAAUUAUUAGAGAUAUGUUUCGCACAUGUUUUCAGAAAAAGUUAUUAAUAAUCUUAUUACUAUUGUAAAACAUUGUCUUAAUCAUCUGGAAAAAAAAUUAGAACACAUAAAUCAACUCAAAUUCAAUAACAUACAUAUAAACUUUGCAACAUAAUUUGUAGGCAUAAAUGUUUUUAUUCAAAGUACAUCCACCUUAUUCAUUGGACACAUGUAUUCAUCCACGUAAGAAUUUACUAUACUAAAAUAUUUUGAUAUCAAAUGAUGACCCUAAAUCAAUUGAAAAUGUUCAUAAUUUCAUUAGAUUAAAUGUAAUGUUGAUGGCCGCAGGAUCGGCUCAAUUAAGCUCCGUUUUAACUUAAAAAAUUGACUAAAAUUAAAAAAUAUAUAUAAUUAUAAUAAUUAAAAAAAAAACACAUUACAAAUACAAUUUUGUAUUAAUAAAGAAAUAGUUUUAAUUAUAAUUAUUUUGAGUUGGAUUAAUCUCAAUUUUUAUAUGUAUUGGAUUUUAUUUAUUUAUUAAAUUUUUAUUAUAAUUUUGUUUAUUUUUAUUAAUAUUUAUAAAAAAAAAUAGACUUUCAAAUUUUGGAGUCUUCAAAAUUUUGAGGCCAUGUGUUAUAAGUUUGCCAUGUGUUAUAAGUUUGUUGGACUCCUAUUUAGAUGCAUUCUCAGAACAUUGCAACAUCUUUUUAAGAGGAACUUCCAAAUGUCAUUUUAGCACUAAAGCAUGCUUUUAUCAGAGAGUGAAAUCAAUUAUGACUUAAAAGUGAUUCUCUUAGUAUUAUAUGAGAUUCUAAGUUCUAAUGUCAUAAAAUUUAAACAGAAUCAAAUCAAAGAACAACGGAUUAAUUUGGAUUAGAUUAAUCGAAAAAAAUAUUUUGUUUAUAUCAACUCAUUAGUUGCUAAUAUUUUUCGUUUCAUAGGUUAUAAAUGUCACAUAUAUAGCAUUUUAUUUUUUUCUUGUUGAAGUAGAAUAUCUUACAUUAGAUUGAUAACGGUAUUAAAUUAAUAUAGUUGAUUCAAUUAGUGUACUUAAUUUUUUGUUUUUGUUAAUUUUUGUUAAUAUUCUAUUAAUUGAUAAGAUUCUUCUCCCAUUUUUCUUUUGUAUUUUUCAUUCAUUUAUGCAUGUUCAAUUUAAUUACUAUUUUUAAAUUAUCUCAUGCAAAGCAAGAGACAAAAAAAUAAAAGCAAAACGUGUACAAAACUCAAGUGACCAUCCAUUAUGACGAAUGGAGUACAUGUAACAUCAGCUUUAGUCAAAAAUUGGAUCAAAAGCAAUAGAAAAACUUGAGAUAAAACUGGCGACCGAAGUUUAUUUCAAAAAGUUCUUGAUUAGAGAUUGAUAUUUGGCACCUGUUUAGGCUGUUACCAAUAUUCACAAACAAAUUAUACCAAAUCUUCAUACACACACAUUGCUGUCCAAAACCAAACAUUUUUUUGAGUUAAUCAACAUAGGCAUCAAUAUAUGGGGUAGAAUAUGCUUUUUUGACAUUGAUAUGAAGUGACAUGCAUUGAUCAUACAAACAUAGAUAACUUUUUUUAUAUUGCUGCGGCAAAAAAAAAAUCCAUAAACAAGAAGAAAAAAAAUAGACACGAGAUUAGAAGUUUUGAAAAAUAGUAGAUAGAGGCAUAGGCUGAAAACUCCCACGACAGAUAUGACUUAGGCCUUCUCCCAUUUAAGAGGCUUCACCACUUCCCAUGUGAAGUCAGGGUCUUCCCUGCCAAAAUGACCAUAAGCAGCAGUCUUCAAGAACCUGCCAUUUCCACCCCUCAAGAGAUCGAGGUUGAUAGAGAUCAUGCCCGGCCUGAAAUCAAAGGUUUCCUUCACAAUCUUGAGGAUCUCCCUAUCAGGUAUCUUCCCUGUUCCAUAUGUGUCAACAAAGACAGACAACGGCUCAGGAACACCAAUAGCAUAGGAGACUUGCACAAUGGCCCUCCUUGCAAGUCCACUUGCAACAAUGCUCUUAGCAGCCUGCCUCACAAUGUAAGCUCCACUCCUAUCAACCUUGGUUGGGUCCUUUCCUGAGAAGGCACCACCACCGUGUGCACCCCAUCCACCAUAAGUGUCGAUGAUGAUCUUCCGGCCAGUGAGACCAGCAUCACCAUGAGGACCUCCAAUAACAAAACGGCCAGAAGGGUUCAAGUGGAAAAUGGUCUUUGAAUCAAGGUACUUCUCUGGAAUCACAGGCUUGAUAACAUGUUCUUUGAGAUCAGCAGCAAUUUCAUCAUUGGUAACAGUCUCAUCGUGUUGAGUAGAGAUGAGAACAGUGUGGACACGAAUAGGAACCAUGGCACCCUUGUCAUUGUAAUACUCAACAGUGACCUGAGUCUUACCAUCAGGUCUCAACCAAGCACAAGUACCAUUCUUACGAACCUCAGUCAAACGAGCACCGAGCUUGGUUGCAAGAACAUGACUCAAAGGCAUCAACUCAGGAGUCUCAUCAGUAGCAUAACCAAACAUAUGACCCUGGUCACCGGCACCAAUUUCCUCAGGCUUCUUGGUGAAAUGACCAUGCACACCCUGAGCAAUAUCAGGACUCUGCUGCUCAAUAUUCACAAGAACCUUGCAGUUGUCAGCAUCAAGACCCACAUCUGCAGAAACAAACCCAAUAUUCCUGCAGGUGUUACGGACAAUCUUCUCAUAAUCAACAUUAGCCUUGGUUGUGAUCUCUCCAAAAACCAUAACCAAGUUAGUCUUGGUGCAGGUUUCACAUGCAACCUUGCUGUCUGAAUCCUGUUCAAGACAAGCAUCUAGAAUAGCAUCAGAGAUCUGAUCGCAAAGCUUGUCAGGGUGUCCCUCGUUCACAGACUCAGAUGUGUAUAGAAACGUCUCUGUUGCCAUCUUUAGUAGCUGCAAAAACAAACCCACUCAAAAAUUAACAACAAAUCCACACAUAAAUCAAGCACAAACAUAACCCUAACUCUACUAAAACCCUAAAUCUCAUGACCCAUCUCAAAUCAAAAUCAAUGCUUAACCAUUUACAAUAUUCAGCUAACAGACAAAAAUAAUCUAAAAUUUAACACACAAUCAUCAAUUUCUUUAAGAUCAAAGCAUAUUAGCAUUCAAAUUCUACUAGAUCUGAAACUGUAGCGGACCAAUUAACUUCAAAUUAGGUUAACCGAACAAAAUAAAAGAUAAAACCCGUCAGUGAAACAAAACUUAACCUAAUUUCAAUAGAUAACAAAACAAAAAAUAAAAAUAAGUAACUCAAAUAGCGAAAUGACAUCUACGCAUACAUCUACUUCAUCGUGAAAAUCAAAACAAAAGCAAAAUGAAGAAAAAGCAAAAGUACCUUGAGAGGUAGUAGAAGAAGAUUAGAGAGAAAUUGUUGCUUCGCUUGAACUUGUUAUUGUUGCGGUGCGAAGCUGUACGAGUUGUAAUGUGAGGAUUGAGACUCCAAUUUAUAGGAAAAUUUUCACAAAACUGUGAAAAGGUUGGCAGGUUUGGAAAGAGAAUGACGCGUGAAUGAGGUUUGAUUUCUGGGUUAGGUUCAUCCAUUUGCAUGUGCGACUCUUCUGCGAAACGGACGGUUAUGAUUUGGAUUUGAUUAAUCUCAACCGUUGCUGGAUUAGGAAAGAGGUUGGUGAGUGAAUUCAAGUGUAAGUAAAGGUGGAUUCCACACUGCAACAGCUAUCUUGCUUCUUCAAAUCCUAUUUCUUUUUUUAAACAAAAAAAGAAAUUGGUUUGGUAUGGUAAAUAAAUAUUUAAAAUGUUUUUAAAUAUCAAAAUUUUAUAUAAAGUCAAUUAUAUAUGUUUUUGUUAUAAAGUAGGAGUAUUUUAAUAUGAGUCAAUUACAAUUUGAUUUUUAUUAUAAUGUUAAAAUAUAGUUUUGGUCCAUAUACUUUAGUUUACAAAUUCUAAAAUGUAUAAUAGUUUUAGAAUUUGUUUGGUUGUAGUCAUCAUAUCAUAGGUGAAAUUGGUGAAUGGAUCUCAAGAUUAAUUUUCAAGUCAUUAUUAUAAUAAUUAAUAACUUUUUUAAUAUUAAAAAAUAUUAAAAUAAAAUUUUAAACAUUAAAAUUGAAUUGAAUAGCUCAAUUGAUAUGUAUUUCUUUUGUUUUUAUUUAUAAGAAAAAAAUGACUUUUUAGAUUUAUUUAAUAAUUAAUUUAUCUUGUUUUAUUAUAUUGUCUAUAUAUAUUGAUUAUUCAAUAAACUUAAAAAAUAAAUUUUCUCAUAUAAAUAAUACCGGAGAAAGGACUACCUCUAUUCCUUUAUAUAAGAGACAAUUCAGUUUUUAAGUUCAUUUAAUAAUCAAUAUAUAUAGUUCAUUAUAGAUACAUUGAUUAUUUAAUGAACUUAAAAGGUAAUUUUUUUUUAUAAAUAGAAUCAGAGGUAGUACUAUCUGUUCCUUUAUAUAAGAGACAAUUCAGUUUUUAAGUUCAUUAAAUAAUCAAUGUAUUGAUUGAUUUAUAGACUAGAUACAUUAAUUAUUCAAUAAAUUUAAAAAAUGAUUUAUCUCUUAUAUAAAGUGUAUAGUAUUAUUUAAGUUAAAGAUUAUUGUUGAUAUUUAUAAAUCAACCACUUUUUAAAAGAAAAUCUCAAAUAUUAAAAAAAAACUCUUUAAAAUAAAAAUAUAAAAAAUAAAAUCUCAAACAUUAUUAAAAAAAAACAAAAGGAAACACUAAAUUAAAAGUUUUAAACUUUAAAAUAAAAUUAAAAAAAUACAUUAAACUAAACCUUAAACAUUCAAAGUUAAUUAAAAACUAAUCAUCUAAUUUGGUUCUAAUUAAAAAACUCUAACAUUAAUAAUUCCAAAUCAAAAUAAAAAAUCUCCUUUUUCACCAUUUUUUAUUUGUCACUCAUCUUCUUCAAAAUCAGGUUGUACAAAAAUCUUCUUCCUUCAUAAUUUGACUAAGUUUUAAAAUUAAAAAAAAUCAUAAAUUAAUGGUUUCAAAUCAAAAUAAAUAAAUAAAUCAUUCUUCAACAUUUUUCAUUUGUUAUUGAUGCUCUUCGCAUCAUCUGAUAAGUUUUUAAAAACUCUUCAUUCAUAAUUUGAUUGGGAUUCAAAUCGAAAAACUUUCAAAAAUUAAUCAUUCCAAAUCAAAAUAUGAAAACAUCUAACAUUAAUUUGAGAUAUUUUAAUAUUAGAUAUUUGAACGUUAAUCUGCAUGGAGCCUUUUGUUUUCGUCGCUUCCACGUCACCACCAUUGGUCAAGCCACCAGAUGGAGGUACAUCUAAGCCUCAUAGAUCCUCGUUCCGAUAUAUUCUCACCGAAGGCCAUGGAUCCACUGCUAUAAAGGAAAGAGAGGGCUUGAUUGAAAAGAGACUUAUGAAAGUCUUUCUUGGAAGCUUUUCCUCAUCCAAAGGUCACGAUGGAUGAGAAGCUUUUCCAACAACCGUUCAAUCCUUGGAAGAAGACGUUAGUCAUCAAACUCACUGGAAAGAAUAUGGGUUAUCAUUUGAUGAAGAAUAGGUUGAAAAAGAUGAAGGUGAAAAAAACACAAGAAAUAGUUUGAAUUGUGUUAACUUUUACUUUCUUUUCAAAACUAUUAGUCAUAUUCUAAACACAAAGUAUAAAAUAUGAACUAAUCAAAGAUAAGAGAUACGUAUCGUAUAAAUAAUGUAAGAAAGAAGAGAGACACAGAAAGUUAUCUUGGUUGCUCUCACAACCGAGAGUAAUCCAGUCCCCUUAUACUUACAAAAUAUUUUCACUAUAAUCAUACAAGAUUAUAAUUUGCUCAAACAUACAAACAAGUGACUUUCAAUGCUCAAACACAAAGUAAGAGACUUUUAUGCUCAUACACACAAACAAGAGACUUUCAAUGCUCAAACACACAAGCAGUAAACUUUUAUGCUGAAACAUACAAGCAAGAGACUUAAAAUGCCCAAACACUAAGUAAGAGGCUUCUAAUAAUCUACCUAACAGAUAAAAGAUUGUUUGGGGUAAUACACUUGAUAUACACUCAUAGAUAUAGACAAAAUACAACGCAAGAAGAACUCUUUAAGACUUAGAGAUUUCUAGAAUAUACAAAGGUAAGAAAUCCUAAGUUAAACUUGUCUUAUUGUUUUAACAGAGUAGCAACUCUUUGAAUGUCAAUAGUUCAUUAGUGUUCUUCAAGUCUUCAUUUCCUUAAAUAGAGAAGGAAAAGAGACGUUGAAGAUCUUGCACAACAAAGUCUUUUAGAAGAUUGAAUAGAGACGUUGAGAUGUUUCUUUAAAUGGUUAAUGUCUUUGAAAACUUGUUUGAAGUUUAUUUACUACAAUAGGAAUUAUCAGUUUCUUUAAAUGGUUAAUGUCUUUGAAAGCUUGUUUGAAGUUUAUUUACUACAAUAGGAAUUAUCAGUUGCAUCUCAGUUAACUCUAUGAGAAAAAGCUUAGGUCUUCAUGUGACCAGAAGUAGACAGAGUAACCUCAGAGUCUAACAAUGACCUAUCAGAGUCACCUUAAUGUGACCAGAAGAAGACAAAGUAGCAUCAAAUUAUUUUUCAGAAACUUCCCAGCGGAACUCAAAAUAUCUUGAAACAUAAAAAUAAUUAUUUAAAGCAAAAUACUCAAAGAAAUAAACUCCAAACACCAACUAAAAACAAUUAAUACACCUCAUCCUCAAUGUUACAAAUCAGAGUAUAUAUACCAAUUAAGUAAUAAUAGGCGAUAAAAUAAAUGAAGAAAAUCUCCAUGGCUAUCUUCCAAUUCACAAGCAACUAUUUUUGUUAAGUACCUGAUUGCAUGUACUCUAGAGGAGCACAGGCGCCGUAACAACAAAAAGGGGGUGAGAAUACACCUUAUAAAAUAAAAAUUAGCAGCAGGAUGGUAAAUAUCAAUAAUCACAAAUACAUCAUUCACACAAAACACAAUUGAAACUAAAAUAGUGAUGCAAAUUCUAAUGCCACCAACUUCUUCAUCAAAUAUGCAUGUGGUACUGGGUUUCUAGGGUCAAAGGUAUGUUACUAAUUGCCCAUGUCUUCGGUUCCUCUUGAACUGUGUCCAUCUCUGGACAUGAGACUGUCAUAGUCCCUCUCUGAACCAUACCGUCACUAGACCAAAGUCUUACCUAACUCCGAAAUAUAUACAUGUAUGAAUAUGUAUAAACUAAGUAUACAACUCAUCAAUCAUCAAAAACAUCAUUAUCAUCAUAAAAAACAUCAUCAUAAUAAAUAUCAUUAUCAUCAUCAUCAAAAAGAUCAUUAUGAUAAUAUACAUCAUCAUGAUAAUAAACAUCAUCAUCAUUAAAAACAUCAUCAUCAUAAGGUUUCACUCUUGAACUCAUAUGUUAUGAAUCACAUGCUAUCACUGUAAUUCCUCCAGAUUACUAAUCUCCAAAAUUGUCAACCACAAGCUGCCACUGUAACCCUUUCAGAUUACCAAUCUCCAAAAAUACAGUUUUCAAAAUAUAUUCAUUUUUUAUCUUAAAAAGAGUAAAGUUAUUUUAUACUCAAAACUCUAACUCAUCAAAAAGUCUCAAAGUUUUAUUAUAUUAAUCAUAACUCAUCAGAGUCUCAAAAAACUCAAAAACAGCUAAACACCCCUCAACUCUCAAAAUGACUCUAGAGUAACCAAAAGUACUUUAAAAUAUUCAAACGUGCUCUAAAGACAACUCUUCAUGAGUGAUAACUCUACUAACUUUAAGGGUUGACAAUUUAACUCAAUUUUAACUUUUUUAGCUUAAUCGCCUUCAACAAAUAAAAAUAUUACUCAAAAGGUAACCUUAUAAUGUCAAUAGUGCUCCAAAUCAACUUAAGUGUAUCCUAUAUUCUGAUCUAUAACUCUAAACAAAUAAAAUAGGAUCCUUAAACUCAUUAAAAAGGUAACGAAAUGUCACCACGCUCAAAAUUGCUCAAAACUCUGGACCUAACUCUAAAAUUGUCUCACUUCAAAAUAACACAAAAUAUUAUAGAAUUAUGAUAAAAUUAUGAAUCUCUCAAGUUUGAAAUUUAUUUAAACCCUCUUUCAGACGCACUUAAUUGCACCUCAAGCGGAGUUACGAGACUCCAAUUCUAUUCAUUUCAGUUCAACCCUAUUGCGAUAAUUUCUGCAUAAACCCUAAAAUAAAAUGCAUGGAUUCAAAAUAGAAUGAAAAAUUAUAUACUCGUGAUAAAUUUAUAAAACACUCGAUUUUGAAUGAUCAUUAAAUUCUAUUUCUAACGCAACUCACGACACCCCAAAAGGACUUACGAAACUCAAGUUAUGCGUGAAAGAUGAUGACCAACACGAGACUGAAAUUGACUAAGCCUCUAGUAUAAAAACCAGUGAGUUGCUGCUAUUGUACUGCCUCUUUAACCGAUUUCUCUACUUCAAAAGAAAUAUUACCGUGUUAGCUUUUCAACGCAACUGGCGGCACUCCAAAAGGAUUGACGAAACUCAAGUUAUGCCUGAAAUAAGGCGGUCAAUUACCUUUUAUGUGUACCUGCAAUUUUUUUGCGUUUUUCUCUCUAUUAUACAUAUUUAAAACUCGCCUAUUUGAGUCUCAACUACCCCGAAUGCUCAACAAAUUUGAUUUCUCUAAAAAAAUCAAUUUUUUAUUUUUGGUGAAAAGUCCAAUGUUUUGGAAAUUAGGGAAAACACAUCCUAAGGUUUUGGAAAAUUUUGAGAACACGACCAAAUAGAGUCCCUCACAAAAUUACAGACAAAAAUUCCAAAAUCCUAAAACAUGAUCACAACAACUACACACAAUUUCACAGUCAUGUAUCACAAUCAACAACAAGCAGUGUAAAUCAACAAACAAUAACACUUUUUAUGACCGUAUGAGAUUUAUCUGAAAUCCCAUUUGGUUUUCAGAGUAACUCGGACGGAAAAAAUUCAUUGAUCUAUGCUAAUAAGGUUUUGUCGCCCAACACUAUAUUACCCAUGGCGUUGAUGGGAGGGUAAGGAAUUAUCACCAUCCUAGCUUUUCAACGCAACUGACGGCACUCCAAAAGGAUUGACGAAACUCAAGUUAUGCCUGAAAUAAGGCAGUCAAUUACCUUUUAUGUCUACCUGCAAUUUUUCUGUGUUUUUCUCUCUAUUAUACAUAUUUAAAACUCGCCUAUUUGAGUCUCAACCACCCCGAAUGCUCAACAAAUUUGAUUUCUCUAAAAAAAUCAAUUUUUUAUUUUUGGUGAAAAUUCCAAUGUUUUGGAAAUUAGGGAAAACACAUCCUAAGGUUUUGGAAAAUUUUGAGAACACGACCAAAUAGAGUCGCUCACAAAAUUACUGACAAAAAUUCCAAAACCCUAAAACAUGAUCACAACUAUCAACAAAGAAUAACACUUUUUAUGACCGUAUGAGAUUUAUCUGAAAUCCCAUUUGGUUUUCAGAGUAACUCGGAUGGAAAAAAUUCAUUGAUCUAUGCUAAUAAGGUUUUGUCGCCCAACACUAUAUUACCCAUGGCGUUAAUGGGAGGGUAAGAAACUAUCACCAUCCUAGCUGCCCAAUUCAUCCAUCAAUGAGGAAAUUCCCCUACCUUAUAAUUUCAUAACCAUCAAGCUUUUUGGCUAUGGAUUUCCUUCAUAGAGUUUCUUAGGUUUUUUUGUCUUCUUCUAUGUUUUCCAAGUUUUUUACGUAUCAGCCUCCAUUUCAAUUCUCACUUUUCUAUUUAAAUAACGAUUUUUUUUGUUAAUUCUCAACUUUCCCUUAACUCUUUACUAUUACUCUUUGACACUCCAAUUUUAUUAAACUUCUAAUUCCACCUCAUAUUCUUAAUUUUCAUAUUUUUAUUAUUUUAAUUAAAUAAAUAUUUAAUCAAAAUUCUCUAAAUUACUAUUUUCUCAAACCAUUACAAAAUAACUAAAUUUAUCCAAUUAUUCAUAAUUUUUCCAAUAAAUUCAAUUUUUAUUUUCUACUCUUCAAUCCUGUAAUUCCAGUAAUUAUUAAAUUACCAAAAUACAUCUAUGCAUCAAAUAACACAAAAAAUCAAAUAUAACGAAUAAAGCACACCAAUAAUUAAAUAAAAUAAUUAAUAAAAAUUGGGGUGUUACAUUGACUAGUCUACAGGUUCUAAUCAUCAGAGGCAGACUUCUUUAAAGUCUGGUUUUCAUAGCCUGCUUCUUCAGAUUCUCACCUUCAAACGUUGACCUCUUUAGAAGUAGACUUCUUCAGAGUCUAGUCUUCAGCUUCUGAUCCAUCAGUUUAUGGUCUUUAGGCUUCUCUUUAAAUGUUCACAAUCAGAACAAAUACUUAGAUUAUUCCUGAAAUUUUAGUCUAUGGUCCUACGCACCUGAACAAAUAUUAGUAUACUCAAUUAUUCUUUAAAUACUUUGUUAUCAUCAAAACCUAAUGGAUAUAGUACAAACCAAUUUUGUUCCAACAAUCUCUCCCUUUUUGAUGAUGAGAAACAUAAGUAUUUAAGAACAAUUAUUGUUAAUUUAAUUAAUAAGUUGACUUUAGAGUUUGAGGUUUCUAAGCUCCUCCGAGUCUAGUAGUCCAGAGGGUGAGGUCUGUAAGCUUCACCCAAGUUAUAUCUAGGUUAAUUAAAUUUAAACAUUAAAGCACAAUAAAAAAUCUUCAAAAUUUAAGCAAAAAAUAAUAACGGUUAGAUUCAGGUGCUUAAAUACUUAUGUAUUUACUCCCCUUUUUAUCAUCAAUAAAAAAUUAAAGGAAAGAAAAGAUAUUGAAUAAAACAUUGCAUUAACCAAAGAAGAAGAGAGUCAGAGUGAGAAAACAUGUUCAAAAUGAUUGAAAAGACAAAACAAAAGGGUUUGUUAAAUCCUAAAGCUUGGGGUUUAUGCUUCAGAAGCUCCAGGAUAGCCUUGAUAUCAUAACCCAUGUCAUCUUGUCUAGCAAUCACAAACUUCAAUUAACAUCUAUGUCUUUUUACAUAGCAGUAACUAAAGCCAAAUUCUCCUCUAAAUGGUCAUGCUUCUCACUGGAAUAAGCCAUAGACACAGAUGAGAAAGACUUCAGAUUCUAUAGAGUUGUAUCCAUAAUAGUUUUGAGAGUGUUCCAUUUAGCUGCAUAAGUUGUGGGAUCAGAUGCAAUGAGCCUCUUAACAACUAGAUUUUGAAUUCUAUCAAAGAUAACAAUUAUGAUUUAUUCCGUUUGGUAUUUGAUAUGAGGUAGGAUGUUGAGUUUUAGAGUGGGUUGAGGUGUAGAAGGACUAGGUAAAGCUACUGUGUCAGAUUAUGACACAACGUCUGCCUCCCUAGAAGGAGAAAGGUAAUGGUUGUAACACCUUAAACCUCCACUCUUAAUCAUAAAAGAGAAAAUAAUAUUUUAGGAUUUUACUCCAAUAAAACAUACAUACUUUAUUCAGAUAAAGUCAACAUAUUCGCAACAAAAUUCAAAUUAUUGCAUAACUUCGAAUAUUUAUUCAAAGGAAAUACUCAAGGAAAAUAAAAUCCAACAUCAACUCAAAGCAAAAACGUCUCAUUCCUCGAUGUUACAGAGUCAUAACAAUCUCCAUCUAAUAGCAUAAAUGUAUAAAUAAAUAAGAAAGAAAGUUGCAAGGUCGUCUUCCAACUCACAAGCAAUUACUCUUGGUGAGUAUAUUUACAAUAUUUCACAAAGCCAACCAAAAUAAACAAGAAAUGAGUGAGAAUACACCUUAGGAAUGUUAAUGGUGAAAAUCAACAGCAGGAUGAUAAUAGUAAUUACAUAGAUCAUUUUCACACAACAACAACAACCAGACAAUUCAUAAUGCAAAUGUGAAUGCAACAACUUCUCCUCCAAAUAUGCAUAUGGUACUAGGUGUUGGGAUCAUAGGUAUGUUACUGAUUAUCCAUGUCUCUGGUUCCUCUCUGACGGUGUCCCUCUCUAGACAUGAGACCGUCAUGGCUCCUCUCUGAACCUAACCUCACUAGACAGGAGUCUUAUCUAACUCCAAUAUACAUGUAUACAUGAUUAUGACAUCAUAAGCUCAAACAAUCAUACAAUUAUCAACAUCUGGUCUCAAAAUUUAUACUAAAAAAUAGGUUUCACUCUUGAGCCAUAAUUCUCCAAUAACAGGCCUCAAUGUAAUUUCACUGAAUUACUCAACUCCAAAAAUAUAGUUAUAAUCAUAUUAUAACUCUAAAUUUCAUAAUUUUCCAAUAACAUACCCCGUUGUAAUUCCACUGAAUUACUAAACUCAAAACAUAAUAUAUUUAUAUAUUUUCUCAAAAUAAUCAACCAUAGAGUAAAAUUGUGUUGUUACUCGAUAAUUUACCUCAACUCAGCCAAUAAACUCAAAAACAUCUCAAAAGGGUGCAUUUUAUAUUAUAUACUCUCAACUCAAAAAUAAUUUAAGUAAUUCCAUAGAGUUCACAAGGGAACUCUAAACAACUCGCCAAUAAAACUUGACCAUUCUAGGGUAACCCUUGAGUACUCAAAAUACUCGAAACUACCCCAGUACCAACUUUCACGAGUGGUAACUCUACUGAACUCCUUAGAGGUUGGCAGUUUAACUCAAAUAAAAUUAACUCUAAAAUAAUAAUUUUAUCUCAACUUAUCAAAAAGGUUGUUGACAAUAAAAUUGCUUGAAUUUUACCAAACUGACCCUUAAACUCGAAAACCACCAAAAUCGCAAUCUGCCGCCCGUAUAACCUUUUUGUAUAGUCGUGCAGCCCAUCAUACAGCCGUACAGUAUCACUGUACAGCCCGUCAUACAACAAGUCUUCCUUCGGGAUAAUUCUCAUCUAGGUGAGACCUGAAGGAGAAGAGCGAUCCAAAACACAACAGAAUUUAAAAAUUUCUCCUUUAGUGAUCCUUACGAAUGGGCAUGAUCAGUGAUAGAAUCGUUAUCUCUUGUGGCGAUUGUAACCUUUGAUGUAAUUCUACAGAGCGAUCACGAACGUUGAACGAUGACAACGCCUCUACUUAGUCCACACGAAUGGAUUCCUUCAAUCUUAGUGCUAGCUGCUAUGAAUGAAGGCUUUGAGUGUGUGUGUGUGUGUGUGUGUGUGUGUGUAUGUGUGUGUGUGUGUGUGUGUGUGUGUGUGUGUGUGUGAGAGAGAGAGAGAGAGAGAGAGAGAGAGAGAGAGAGAGAAACGAAAUUGUAACUGCACAAAUGCUUCUACACAAGGGUUCUAUUUAUAGAACCACUUAGUGUGUGUGUGUGUGUGUGUGUGUGUGUGUGAGAGAGAGAGAGAGAGAGAGAGAGAGAGAGAGAGAGAAACGAAAUUGUAACUGCACAAAUGCUUCUACACAAGGGUUCUAUUUAUAGAACCACUUGUGUGGGCUGCAAGCUAAAAAGGCCCACUCAAGUGUAUGUAGCCCAUAUCUUAUAAUAUGCCAAAAUCACUUAAGUGUGUGGUACCUUACCAUAUUUCGUAUUCUACUUAAGUACAUUGUACCUUACGAUGUUCUACAAUUCACUUAAGGGCACCGUACAUUAAGGUAUUCCUUAAUUACUAUAUCUCUCAUCAAUCCGUCCUUUUGUGUGUGACCCUGUAGGUUUUCGCGGCAUUGAUAAUUAUAUUAAAUCACGUAUUUAACAUAAUAAACAGUGAGCAGUAUCUAGCAACACAUCACUGCUACCUAAGACACGAAAAUGUCAUGUGAUAUGACAAAUCCUUUUGUGAUAAUACUUAUGUGUACAAUUACCUUUUUUCCCUUAUGUCUAUAUUGAACACAAGGCAUAGACCGUGCCAUCCUUGUCCAGUUCAAUAUUGGGCCCAUAGACAUUUAUCUUGUUAUGCAGUAUGGGCAAAUUCCAUCUAGGUCACUCAUGUCCCUUAGCAUGCUUCGUGGAGUACCCAUCAACUGUCUUUAUGGUCAUCCAGUUACAGAUAACGUUUGAUCAUCAAUAAGGCACUCGACUCUACAUCUAGGGUCCAUAGUGGUUUCAGGUCGAAGGGUGGUAUACACCAUUAUCACCAUGAGAAUAACUUAUGACACUUUGCAUAACAUUCUAUAUACUCAUAGCGGGUCCAAUCCCCAGUAUAAAUAUUACUCUUAUAUUCAUACAUAUGUUUAAGACUUGAUAACUCCUUAUCCAUGAUCCAUGAGAUGUGAUCAUCAGUCCAUACAUAAUAGUCUUAAUGCUUAAUGUUAAUCCCACUUCACAAUAAAGCUCGACUACGGAUACUUUAAGAAUAAUGUCCUUAUGUUUAAUGUGAUCUCAUGAUUAAGUCACACUUGAUACAUUAAACGGACUAGCUAUUCUAGGGACUUUAUUAAAAAAACAUAAUAAAGAAAAAGCCUUUUAUUAUUAAUAAAUAAUUUGAUACAAGUACCAAAAGUAUUGGCCUCUAGGGCUUACACCAACUAGACCUUAGUAACGACCCUUGGGGGUUGAUAAUACAAGGUCACCCUGAAUGGAAUAGGUUUCAGAUAAUGGUUCUCAAAGUCAUGGACCACAUCCAAAUCAUCAACAUAGUGAGGGGCUAGCCCUACUAUGAAGAUACCUUUGGGAGACUAUUCUGAAUGUAGCUUUCAUGCCCCUUUGAAAUGUGACAUCUCGCCGAUUAACACUAGCUAUACUUAUUAACUUUUUUUUUCUCAAGCUUGGGUUUUAGCUUCACACAUACGAAGAUCCCAACUAAUAACAUGCAAGCAUAUAUAAUAAAAUAAAAAUCAAACAGGAAGAAUAAAAAUAAAAUGGAAAAGCAAAUAAAUAAAUAAUAAAAAACAAGAAUAAAUAAAAUCAAACAAAGAAAGAAACACAAAAAAAAACCUAAAACUAUAGGUUAUGAUGGACUCUCUUUAGGGAAAGUUACAGUCUUCCCCAUCAUAGUCGUCAGCUGUCGCGACUGGAAAAUUACAGAGUCACCAUCAUCAUUUAUUUAUUUAUGAGGAACAAGGAAAUAAUGAUAAAACCUAAAGUUAAGGGUGAGACAUUAAGGUCCGGGAGUCAGUUAAGUGAGAGGAAGGUGUUAGGCACCCCUCACCUCCAUUGUACUCAAGGAGGGCCUUCUCUAGUUCUAUGGUUAACCAUUUUUGCUUAAGGGAUGUCUGUUUAGAUUAUUUAUUUUGCUUAAUUACUUAUUAACAUGGAAUUUAAUUAUUGUUAAGAGAAAAGUUUUUAAUUAAGGAAAAGAGGAUAAAGAAAAUGUUUUUGUUAUUGUACUCGCUAGAGUGUUACGACUCUAUGCCUACUGAAGCUAGCGGAAAUAUAUUCGAACGCAUCUCACGCUCGAACAUACAACAAAGUCGCCAUCGAACUUUAUUUAUUCCCAAAGUAAAAGGAAAACAUCGAUAAAACCCGGGGGAAAAGAGAUAUAUUGGGUAAGGAAGUCAGUUAUGCAAGGAGAAGGUAUUGGUACCCCUAACAUCCAUGGUACUCCAUGGGAACCAUUUUGAUCGUUCUUGCUCCAGUGGGUGUUAUAUCUAAAGGUUAAUCUCAAAAUAAUAUGGAAAGGAAAGAAAUAGAUAGAGUGCUCGUUGAGGAUUGGGGCCCUCAUGCCUACUUAUCCUCAUAGUGCAAUGAGGAAUUCAUAGUUCUGUAGUUCGAAGAACUAGUGGUAGGAGAUAAAAAGAAGUGUGACCAAAGUAUGGUCUAAACUAAAGGAUUAUUGUUUGAACUCUAAAAGGGGUGAAAUAUGAACCCAGGAGUAAAAUUGGUUUUAACCGACAUCUGAACUAGCAGAGGGUUGCCACUAUAUGGUAUAGCCGAAAACAAGGUGAAUUAAGUAUUUGGGUACGAUCCAAAUAACUCUUGGUUCACAAGGUGACGCAAGAUGGAUCUCCAAGAGAUUAUGUAUUUGGCUCAGGAAUAGGGUUUAUCACAUGAAGUGAAUGAAGGUAGAAUAUGAAUGCAUCAUGGAGAUGAAUGGAAUGAAGGAAUUCCCUAAGGCAUAUGUAAUAAAUAAGUAUGCUCAUGGAGGAUUCGAACCCUCGUGCCUACGUAUUCUCAUCGUGCAAUGAAAAAAUCAGAUCAAUCAUAGUUCAAACUACUACGACUGAAAACAAAGGGAGAUUUGAUAGGAUUGCUCAGAGGCAAGGUAGAUUUCUUAACAAGCAAGAGCGUAGCACUAACCAAUGAUGGUAAUCAUCCACAAGGUAUCAAUGAAGGCAUGGUCUGAACUAGGGGUGGCAAACGGGCAUGCCCGCCCCGUUUAGGCCCGCCCUGCAAAAGCCCACAAAAAAACGGGGCGGGGCGGGGCGGUCAUAAUUGAGGAUGCGGGCCUAAAACUUAGACCCGCCCCGCAAAAAAGUGAGGACGGGGUGGGGAAAGCCCGCGGGCACUACAAAAGCCCACAAAAAAACGGGGCGGGGCGGGGCGGUCAUAAUUGAGGAUGCGGGCCUAAAACUUAGACCCGCCCCGCAAAAAAGUGAGGACGGGGUGGGGAAAGCCCGCGGGCACUGCACUCUUUAAGCCUAAAAAUACAAAAAUUUAUGUAAAUACACGUGCCCGCAAAAGCCCGCGAAAAAAAUGGGGCGGGGCGGGACAGACACAUUUGAGGGUGAGGGCCUAAAUCCUUGGCCCGCCCCGCACAAAAGUGCGGGCAAAACGGGCAUGGCCCGCGGGCUGAGCCCGUUUUGCCACCCCUAGUCUGAACCAAAGGUGCUACCAGAGUCUGAGACUCCAUAAGGUAGAAAAUGAUAUUGCCAGGGUCUGCACCCACAAGGCAGAAUGAGAUAUAGCCAAAGUAUGGACUCCUAAGGCAAGAUAGAUGAAUUCCAUAGUCUGAACUAAAACAAAGGCAAGGACAAAUUUCCAGGGUCUGAACUCAAUUAGGGCAAAAGGAAUAUAAUACCAAAGUCUGAAUUUCAAGACAAUGUCAAAGGUUGUCAGAAUCUGAACUCCACUGGAAAAAUGUAUAAGUGUCCCAUAGUCUGAACUAUACAAAGCAAGUGAAUGAUCUGAAUUCCAGAGUUUGAACUCAAUGAGGGAAAACGAGUAUGAUGUCGUAGUCUGAAUUGUAAGGCAAUGGAAGAGGUAGCCAGACUCUGAACUCAAUGGGAUGGGAUGCCAAGAUCUAUAUCUUAUAGGCAAGGAAUAAAGCCAGAGUUUGUAUUCCAUAGGCUAAAAGAAGUGCCAAGGUCUGUACUUGUGGGAAAGAAAUAAAACCAAAGUAUGUACUUUAUGGGUUGAAUGCCAAUGUAUGUACCUUAUAGGCAGAGGGUAAAGAUGCCACAAUAUGAACUACAUGGGCGAGAUGCCAAGGUUUGUACCUCAUAGACAAAGAAUAUAGCCAAAGUUUUUACUCCAUGGGCUGAAGGAAGUUGCCAAGGUCCGCACCUUGAGGGUAAGCGACAAAGUAUGCCAUAGUCUGAACUGAUAGGCAAUGCAUGAAGCAAUUGAUUGAGAAAUGGGUAUGUGACCCCAAGAUAAUGAUCCCAAGAAAUGUAUGAAUAUCCAGGAAGAGAGUUUGAUACUAGAGGGAGUAAUGGUGCUUCAUUGUUAAAGGAGGAUUGAUGUGCAAUAAUGCUUCAUUAUUGAAGUGUUGUGUGAUUGAUGCUUGCUUGAAUAAGACUUGUCAAUCACAUGAUUCGAAUCGCACUAAAGUCUAUGAACAAGGGCGGGUGCUUUGAAUAACUAGGGCCUACGCCUCAUACGCAAAGUCACUCUAGACAAGGGUAGGAGAAACUUCGUCUCAUCAUUCCUUAUUACUUAAGGCUCAUAGCGUGUGAAAUUCUAGUAACAGACUAUCGAUGUCACACUGGAUGUUAUGACAUCCAAUUCUGCGCAGACGGGUAAUGUAUGCAUAAAGUAAAUGUAAAAAGAAGUAAAUGACACAGAGAAUUGUUUACCCAGUUCGGUGACAAACACACCUACUUUGGGGGCUACCAAGCCAGGGAGGAAAUCCACUAUAAGAGGUAUUAAUUCAGGACUUAAACCACAAGUUUAAUCCUAUCACUUAAGACCUACCCAAUGCAAUUUCAAUCUAAACUAAGACCUGAGUACCUACUCACUCCCCCUCAAUCACAGCAGUGAUUACAACCAUUAAGAAUUUUAAAGUCAGUGGUGAAGAUAUACUUCAAACAACUCUUGAUUGUGCUUAAAAGCUUUAAUCAAGAAACACAACACUCACGCUUAAAAGCUUAGAGUGACACAACAAUUACAACUCAAUAAACACCCUAGUCCAAUGCAAUCAUCUAGGUGAUAAUUGCUUGGCUCACAAGUAAAACCUAAUUCAAGACACAAUGAAAGUACAUCAAUGAUAUAUAAUGAUAUAUUGAAUUCUUCACGCUUCAAAUCACUGAGUUGCUGAAAGUAGGAUUGCCAUCCUUUUAUAAUGCAGUACUUGGGCCUUGAACUUGAAUUUCAUAAAAUUAGGGUUAAGCAAGUUAACCUAAUUUCCACACAUUAGGGUGCUAACAAAUAGGCUAUAUGCUAGGUCUCUUAAUUUUAGCACAGCUGUUAGUUUCCUGAAAAUCAGCCUGAGAUAAAUACUGAAACAUAACAGAAAAAUUAGCCUAUACUUUAGCAUCUGCUGUCAGGGAUGAAUGUCAUAACAUUCAGUUUGACAUCCAGAAAAUGCUGUCAUGAAUGAAUGUCAUAACAUUCAGUUUGACAUCCAGUAAAUCCUGUAUUAGCUAAUCCUGCAGCAUACUACUUAAGCAUGUCAUGACAUCAGUCAAGACAUCUAAGUACAGUAAGUGUUUUAACAUAAAAUGCAGCCAAUCAAAAACAUCUACAAACUCCCCCUUUGGCAAAUUUUUGGCUAAAACAACUUGGCAUCACAACAGAGUUCACAGCAGCAGAAAGCACACAUCCAAGCAGAGAAUCAAAUUAGCUAAUACACUUAGCAAACAUAGAAGUUAAACUUCAAACAACAGCAGCACAAGAGAAGAUCAAGCAGAGAGCAAACAACAACAUAACCUCUUGUUUAGAGGACCUUCAACUUCAAAGAAAUUUGUUGUCCUGGGGUACAAGUGUUACUCCCCCUUUUUGUCAAAAAUGUUGCCAAAGCAACACUUAAUAUUACAGACCAAAAAAAUAAAAAUACAAGCAAUUAUCAGAAACACAAGAAAUGUUCUAGUCAUCUGACUCAGAGUCAGCAUCAUCAUUUGUGCCAUCAUCAGGACUGGCAUCUGCUUCUCCCUCUUCACCUUGUCUUUCAGCUUCUUCUGCAACAGCAACAGCUUCACCAAAUUCUCCACCAUCAGCUAGCACAUCACCUUCAGUCAUCUCCAAAGAGCUAAUCAAUUUUUCCAAGUUCAGCUUCCUUGCCUCUAAUUCCCUGCAGGUUUCUUUGAGCAUUGCAAUGACAACAGCUUUACCUGGCUGAUUGCUUACACGUGAUGUCUCACCUGAUGUCAUGACAAUGUCAGGGACAUGGGUACCUAGGAACAACUUAUGAUUGAAAGACAUAGGGUUGUCUCUUUUCUUCACAGAAUCAUUCUCAGUUAAGAUGUUUGGAAACUGAUUCAAAACAAUACCACAGAUGAGAGAAGGAAAGGCUAUAGGACCCUUCACACUGAAGCUUCCUGCAUGCUUCAAAGUUUGAUCAAAAAUAUAGGAGCCAUAGUCAAAUUUGGCUUUGGUUCCAACAACAUAUAUAAACUUUCCAAGCAUUACAGCAACUGUAGAUUUAUGAUUGGUGGGCACCCAGUUAGCAGCUCCAAUCUUGUGCAGCAUUGCAUACUUGACACUCAGUUUACUUGCCACCAAUUUUCCUUUGAGAGGCCACUUCCUUACCUGAUUAGCAGUGAUGACUUGACAGAUUUUGUUGUCAGUCACCUCAAGCUCAGGUUGAGCUUCAUCAGGCCUUCCCAAAUACUUGUUGAUCACUGAAGGAGAGAAAUUUACACACUUGCCUCUCACAUACACUUUCCUGAAUUCCUUAGACUUGCCAUCAGCACAUUCUUCAGACAAAUUAACAAUAAAUUCCUUUACCAACAUCUCAUAGCACUUUGAAAACUGAGUCACAGUCUUCAUUAAACCAGCCUCUUGAAUAAGAUCCAUAAUAUCCUUACAGUCUAGGACAUUCUGAGCUAAUUCCCUUUCCAAAGCCAGCCUCUUCUGAUAAACAUAUUUCCACCUGUUUACACUUGAAGCAAAAUGAAAAGAUAUGUUGUCAAUUGGUACCUCAGGGACACUAGCUGCAAGCUUGCUAGUGGUUGGCUUCUUCUUUGACAGAAUGUCAGAGACAUUACAAGGAACAUCUGAGUCAGACUCAACAACAACAAACUUGGUCUUCUUUUUCUUGGGCACCACUUUGCUCCAAGAUUUGGUUGGACCAUGAACUUUCCUCUUGAGGGAACUCUCGACUGCCACCGUUGUCUUGGAAGAGGUUGGAACAUCAAUCUUCUUUCUGGGGGACCUUUGAGCCACAGUUUUCUUUUCUCUCCUAGUCCUAACCCUUUUGGCUAUGCUAGGGAGGACAGAGGACAACAACUCAUUAUCAGAAAAUUCCUCCAGGUCUACUGUUUCAGCCUCACAGUUAGGGUUGUCACUGACAUCAUGAGUGACAUGAACUUCCUCACCAGCCACAUUAUCUAAGGGUUUGUCAACAUUUGACUCCUUAUGAGCAUCAGUUUGCUCAACAUCAUCAGAGAUAUUCUUUCCUAAAGACUCAGUAUUUUCUUGAUCAGCAACACUAUCAGGUUCAAUAGUGUUUAAGGGAAUGGAAACCCCAGGGACCUCAUGAUUUCCAGACAGUAUUCCAGUCACUAUAGUGGCAAUGGCAUUGUGAACAUACCUGGAACCUUCUUUGGUUCGUUCCUCAAGAACGAUGGAUGAGGAGAAGCCUGAUACAGUUUCUUUAGGUCUUCUUGCAUGUGGGGUAUUCAUAGAGUCAGCAACAGGAUCUUCUCUGUUAGGGUUGCUUGGUUCAGCGCUAGGAGAACAAGGCAUGUUCUUGGAAGGAGAAGAGUUGGAUUGUUGAGACAUGAUGAGUAUCUUAGAGACGAAAUGAAAAAUUUCUCUGAGAGGAUGCUUGCGUGAAUGGAAGUUGAAAGAGUGGAAGAAGUAACGCUUGUUGCAAGUGAAAUAACUAUUAUCUGUUGACCAAUCAGAGCACACUUUCAAUUGUUUAAUAAUUUGAAAUAUUAAACAGUAAAUUCCUAACAUCCUUAGUUGCUAUAAUUCCUCAGAAAGACAUAUUCCCAACUUGCCCCUUAAAUUUUCAAACUGAGUAGCAUCCAAAGCCUUUGUAAAUAUGUCAGCAAGUUGUAGUUCAGUUGCCACAUGUUCCAAGGUAAUCACUUUGUCUUCUACCAGAUCUCUUAUGAAGUGAUGUCUAAUGUCAAUAUGUUUGGUCCUGCUGUGUUGGAUAGGAUUCUUUGAAAUGUUGAUGGCACUGAGAUUGUCACAGAACAAUGUCAUGACAUUCUGAGUGACAUUGUACUCAGUCAGCAUUUGUUUCAUCCAUACCAGUUGGGAACAACUGCUUCCAGCUGCUAUGUACUCAGCUUCUACAGUGGAUAAUGAUACAUAGUUCUGUUUCUUGCUGAACCAGGAUAUGAGAUUGUUUCCCAAGAAGAAACAUCCUCCUGAUGUGAUUUUUCUGUCAUCAACACUCCCAGCCCAAUCAGCAUCACAAUACCCAGAUAAGAUAGGCUCAGAGCCAUGAGAGUAGAGUAUACCAUAAUCAUAAGUCCCAUUAAUAUACUUGAGAAUCCUCUUGACUUGAUUUAAGUGACUCACUUUGGGUUCUGCUUGGUAUCUAACACACACACCAACUGCAUAUGCAAUAUCAGGUCUACUAGCAGUUAGACAUAGUAGGCUACCUAUCAUGCUUCUAUACAAGCAUUGAUCAAUACUAGAACCUCCUUCAUCUUUAAUUAAAUUUAAAUGAGUAGGUGUAGGAGUUCUUUUGUGACUAGCAUUAUCCAUACCAAACUUCUUAACUAUGUUCUUGGCAUAUUUGCUUUGGGAGAGAAACAUAGAAUCUUCCAUCUGUUUAACUUGCAGUCCAAGAAAAUAAGUCAAUUCCCCAACCAAACUCAUUUCAAAUUCAGAUUGCAUCUGGUUAACAAAAUGUUUCACCAUUCUAUCUGACAUUCCACCAAAGACAAUAUCAUCCACAUAUAUUUGGGCAAUCAUGAUUUUUCCAUCUUCAUCCUUCACAAAUAAAGUCUUAUCUAUCCCUCCUUUUCUGUAACCAUUAGUAGUCAGAAAUUCAGUCCCAUACAGAGCUUUCCUCAACUUGUACACAUGUUUUGGUAGAUUAGGAUCACUGAACCCUUUAGGUUGUUCCACAUAGACUUCUUCAUUCAAAUAGCCAUUUAAAAAGGCACUCUUCACAUCCAUUUGGAACAAUUUGAACUUCAGAAUGCAGGCAACACCUAACAACAACCUUAUUAACUCAAGUCUUGUAACAGGUGCAAAAGUCUCAUCAAAAUCAACCCCUUCAACUUGAGUAUACCCUUGUGCCACUAGUCUUGCUUUAUUCCUAGUGAUUACUCCUUUCUCAUCAGACUUGUUCUUGUAAAUCCACUUGGUACCAAUGAUGUUAGUCCCUUCAGGUCUUGGAACUAACUCCCAUACUUCAUUCCUUUUAAACUGCUCCAGUUCAUCUUGCAUAGCAUUGAUCCAAUAUUCAUCAGUCAGAGCUUCUUUCACAUUUUUAGGUUCAACCUUGGAUACAAAGCAGGAAUUUGAGCUAUUCUCCCUUGAUCUGGUAAUCACACCACUAUUGGGAUCUCCUAUGAUAAGAUCCUUAGGGUGGUCUUUCUGAAUCCUGAUAGAAGGCACCUUGUUGGAUGCUUCUAACUCAAGUCCAGGAGGAGUAUCCUGUACAUUUUCUGUUGAAGUCUCAAGGAAUGUUCCAACAUCCUCUAUGACAUUGGAUUCUUCAUCUUUAUCAUCAACAAUAACAUUUAUGGAUUCCAUCAGGACAUUAGUUCUGGAGUUGAAAACUCUGUAUGCUCUGCUGUUAGUAGAGUAUCCCAGGAAUAUACCCUCAUCACUUUUGGGGUCCAUUUUUCUUCUCUGUUCACGAUCUGUAAGAAUGUAACAUUUGCUUCCAAAGAUAUGAAAGUACUUCACAGUAGGUUUUCUGCCUUUCCAUAUUUCAUACAGAGUGGAAGAGGUUCCCUUUCUCAAGGUAACUCUGUUGUGAACAUAGCAAGUUGUAUUCAUAGCUUCAGCCCAAAAGUGCAUAGGAAGCUUCUUUGCAUGAAUCAUAGCUCUAGCAGAUUCUUGAAUAGUUUUGUUCUUCCUUUCAACUACUCCAUUUUGCUGAGGAGUAAUAGGUGAGGAAAACUCAUGACUUAUUCCUUUAGAUGAGCAAAAAUCAUCAAACUUGGAAUUUUUAAACUCCUUUCCAUGGUCACUUCUUAUUCUGAUAACACAACUAUCCUUUUCUCUUUGGAGUCUUACGCAUAGAUCUUUGAAGACAUCAAAUGCAUCUGUUUUUUCUCUGAUGAAGCUUAUCCAUGUGUAUCUGGAAUGGUCAUCAACAACCACAUAAGCAUAUCUCUUCCCACCAAGACUUUCAACCUGCAUAUGUCCCAUUAAGUCCAUGUGCAAAAGUUCCAGAGUUUUGGAUGUUGUAGGAAGUCCAAGCUUAGGAUGUGACAUCUUGGUUUGCUUGCCAACCUGACAUUCUCCACAGACUUUCCCUUCAUUAAUAAUCAGCUUUGGGAUUCCUCUAACUAUAUGAUCUUCUUCAUUCCUCUUAAAUGAAGAUGUCUAAGUCUUCUAUGCCACAACUUCACUUCCUUUUCUUCCUUGGAUAAGAAGCACAUUGAGGAGUAGUUUGAGACUUUAGGUUCCCAUAGAUAGCAGUUAUAUUUGGAUCUGGAUCCUCUCAUAACUUCCUUGUUUUCUCCAUUUGUCACAACACAUUCUUCCUUAGUGAACUAUACAUUGAAGCCUUGAUCACAUAGCUGGAUUAUGCUGAUGAGAUUAGCAGUUAGUCCUUUUACUAACAACACAUUAUUCAGUUCUGGAACUCCAGGACUGUCUAGCUUACCAACACCUUUGAUUUUUCCUUUAGCUCCAUCACCAAAGGUCACAUAACUGGUAGUAUGAGGUUGUAUAUCUACCAAUAAGUUAUUCAUCCCAGUCAUAUGUCUUGAGCAACCACUAUCAAAAUACCAGUCUUCUUUGGUAGAUGCCCUUAGAGAUGUGUGAGCUAUUCUAGCAACCCAUUGUUGUUUCUUGAUAGGGGAAUUAUGCUUAGGUGCCUUCUGCUUAGGUCUGACUUAAGGGGUCUAGUUAGGAUAACCAUGCAACCUAUAACAGAAGGGUUUUAUGUGACCAAAUCUUCCACAGUAAUGGCAUCUCCAUCUUUAAAAUUUCUUCUUUUGAUGGUUAAUCCUCCUGUUUCCAUGAUGUUGUGACAUUGGUUGUGACUUCUGCUUGAUUUUCUGAACUUCAGCCUUUGAGCUUUUGAAUUUAGAUGAGGAUUCCUUAACAAAGCCUAAACCAGACAUGGUUCCUGAUUUCUGUCCCACCUUUAUAAUUUCUUCCAAAGUGUCAGUUCCUUUAUUCACCAUUCUGAUGGAUUUUGUCAUUUGAUCUAGCUUAGAGGUCAGCAAGGUUAUCUCACCAUUUAGAUCAUCUAUGACUGUCAGAUGCUUCUUCUUCUCAGCUUCCAGCUCCUUGAUAAGUUUCUUCUGCUUUUCUCCUUGUAGACACACUUCUGCACUUUUGACACAUAACUCUUUAUAUGAAGCAGCAAGUUCAUCAAAUGUAAGUUCAUCUCCACUUGAGUCAUCAUCAGAGGCACAGACACUAGUUAGUGCAGUGACAUGUUUUGCAGAUUCUCCUUCUGAUUCACUCUCAGAGUCUCCAUCAGACCAGGUGACAGAUAGUCCCUUCUUUUGCAUCUUGAGGAAGGUAGGACAUUCAGCUCUAAUGUGUCCAAAACCUUCACAUCCAUGACACUGGAUUCCCUUGCCUUGGUUGGACUUUUCUUCAGAUUUUGAUCUUCUACUGAUGUCAGAUGAAGUGUUCUUGACAUUUGGUCUACCUUUUUGAUCAAUCUUCUUUAUGAACUUGUUGAACUGUCUUCCAAGCAUGGCUAUAGCUUCUGAUAUACUUUCAUCACCUCCAAUAUUUCCUUCUUCUGAAUCCUCUUCAGUAUUUGAUACAAAAGCUAUGCUUUUGUUUUUCUUUUCAACAUUCUCACACAAGCCCAUUUCAAAAGUUUGGAGAGAACCAAUAAGCUCAUCAACCUUCAUAUUGCAGAUAUCUUGAGCCUCUUCUAUAGCAGUAACCUUCAUGGCAAAUCUCUUGGGCAAUGAUCUGAGAAUCUUUCUUACAAGUUUUUCUUCAGACAUUUUCUCUCCUAAGCCUCCAGAAGUGUUGGCAAUUUCAAGAAUAUUCAUGUGGAAGUCAUGAAUAGUCUCAUCCUCUUUCAUCCUCAGAUUUUCAAACUUAGUAGUCAGCAUCUGGAGUUUAGACAUCCUUACCUUGGAGGUACCUUCAUGAGUUGUUUUGAGAGUAUCCCAAACUUCUUUAGUCAGUUCACAGUGAUGCACCAGUCUGAAAAUGUUCUUAUUUAUCCCAUUGAACAGUGCAUUCAAAGCCUUAGAGUUUCCAAGGGCUAAUGCCUCUUGCUCUUUGUCCCACUCUUCUUCAGGAAUUUACAUAAUGAUUCCAUCUUUACUUGUCUUCGUUGGAUGUUCCCAUCCUUUGUUGACAGCUCUCCAGACCUUACUAUCCAGAGACCUCAAGAAGGCUAUCAUACGAGGUUUCCAGUCAUCAUAGUUAGAACCAUCCAACAUGGGUGGUCUAUUUGAGAAUCCUACAUCCUUGUCCAUGGUACUAGAAAGUAACGUCCCUAGAUCUCACCCAGAAAGUAACAUGCAGGGUGCCUGCUCUGAUACCAAUUGAAAUUCUAGUAACAGACUAUCGAUGUCACACUGGAUGUUAUGACAUCCAAUUCUGCGCAGACAGGUAAUGUAUGCAGAAAGUAAAUGUAAAAAGCAGUAAAUGACACAGAGAGUUGUUUACCCAAUUUGGUGACAAACACACCUACUCUGGGGGCUACCAAGCCAGGGAUGAAAUCCACUAUAAGAGGUAUUAAUUCAGGACUUAAACCACCAGUUUAAUCCUAUCACUUAAGACCUACCAAUGCAAUUUCAAUCUAAACUAAGACCUGAGUACCUACUCACUCCCCCUCAAUCACAGCAGUGAUUACAACCAUUAAGAAUUUUAAAGUCAAUGGUGAAAUAUACUUCAAACAACUCUUGAUUGUGCUUAAAAGCUUUAAUCAAGAAACACAGCAUGCACACUUAAAAGCUUAGAGUGACAUAACAAUUACAACUCAAUAGACACCCUAGUCCAAUGCAAUCAUCUAGGUGAUAAUUGCUUGGCUCACAAGUAAAACCUAAUUCAAGACACAGUGAAAGUACAACAAUGAUAUAUAAUGAUAUAUUGAAUUCUUCACGCUUCAAAUCAUUGAGUUGCUGAAAGUAGGAUUGCCAUCCUUUUAUAAUGCAGUACUUGGGCCUUGAACUUGAAUUUCAUAAAAUUAGGGUUAAGCAAGUUAACCUAAUUUCCACACAUUAGGGUGCUAACAAAUAGGCUAUAUGCUAGUCUCUUAAUUUUAGCACAGCUGUUAGUUUCCUGAAAAUCAGCUGAGAUAAAUACUGAAACAUAACAGAAAAAUUAGCUUAUACUUUAGCAUCUGCUGUCAGGGAUGAAUGUCAUAACAUUCAGUUUGACAUCCAGAAAAGUGCUGUCAUGAAUGAAUGUCAUAACAUUUAGUUUGACAUCCAGUAAAUCCUGUAUUAGCUAAUCCUGCAGCAUACUACUUAAGCAUGUCAUGACAUCAGUCAAGACAUCUAAGUACAAUAAGUGUUUUAACAUAAAAUGCAGCCAAUCAAAAAUAUCUACAGCAUGUAACCUUCAUCAUGAUUGGCAAGUUUUGUUAAAGGCUUCUGAUUAUUAAUCUUGGUGAUGCCAUGUUGUUUGUUGUAUUGAGAAGGUUUGGCAAUUGUUUGAUACAAAUUAUGUUAAAGUAUAUGAAAGAGGGUGAAUGCUUUAAAUAGCUAGGGCCUACGCCCCGUACGCAAAGUCAUUCUAGACAAGGAUAGGAGAAACUUUGUCUCAUCAUUCCUCAUAUCUUAAGGCUUAUGGCUUACAAUUUAAAUCGUACUUGUCAAGUGUUGAUACCUUUGUCGUGCUUGAGGAGUAGUCCACUUUGCUAGCUAUGCUUGACUGAUGUUGACUUGAAAUCUUGAUCUUAUACUUGAACCUUGAGGUCUUGAGCUCUUAAGAUUUAGCAUAUCCACAAUAGCUUGAGCGUAAUAAAUUUGUCAUAUCAAGUGAUCAAGGGUAUUUUGAUCACUUGAAAUAGAUUUGAGGUUUACAACAUAAUUACAAAGGAUUUGGUUGACCAAAGCGACCUUUGGUCAACACUAAUCGGUGGGAUUGAAAUGCUAGUUGAACUAUGUACAAAUAUAUCCUAUUGAAUUAAUCAACUACAUAAAAUCAGACAAAACUGAUCAAGGCCCUAAGCUAAGGGAGCAUGCAUAAAAUCAAGAUUUUAUGCCCUAAGGGCAAAGUGGUAAUUAUGUCAAAAAGAAACAAUUAGGAAAAUAAAUUAUAUUUAAGAACUGAUCCUAAUUGUAUUCGAUCAUGCCAAAAUCAGGAUUCCUAAGCCCUAAGGGGAAAAUGGUCAAUAUGUGCAAACUGAUCAAACGGAAACAAAAAUCAAUAUUAUUUAGAAAUUAAUUAGAAAUAAUACGUGAAUAUGAUGAAAAGAAAUCAGGCUAAGUUCUAAAACCUAAAAUUUCUAAAGAUUUUAAUUGAUUAAUUAACAAUUAUAUCUACAAAUCAUAAUUAAUGAAUUAAAUCAAAUUAACUAAUAAAAAUGAUUAACCUAAAUUAUGGUCAUUCUAUUAGCUAACAAACAUGACUAAUUACAUUAAACAAAAAACGAAAUUUAAUUAAGCAAUUUAAUGUGAUUAAACAAAAUAAACAAAAAGGCUUAGAAAGGAGGGGCAGGCCCAUCUAGUGGGGGUGUGUUAAGCAAAAUAAUGGUCUAAUGACAAAUGGGCGCAAAGCCCAUACUCUUGAGCCCAAAUUGCAAACUCCAACUCAGUGAAGGGUGUCCAACUUACAAGGGGGUGCAACGUGAACUUGAAAAAAUUAAUUUGUUUGGGCCAUAUGCCCAAACUAAAUUCCACGUUAAAAAUGUUAAAUGAAAAUUAGAUGUUCGAACUCUCCUCCGAAGGUUUCGAGUGGCGCUUCCAUCGCAUUCGUCACCAUCAACAUCGCAUACGAUCCCAUCAUCAAACUUGUGAUUCAACAUCCCUGCGUCUUCGAUUCCUCUGCUUGCGUUCAUCACCUCCUUCGACCUUGAGCUCAUGUUCAUCAUCGCCUUCGACCUUCAUCGUAGCAUUCUUCAUUGGAGAUUCGAAUCUUUCAUGUAUUGCAGAGUAUCAAUGCACCUCAUAGCGUCGUCUUCGUCUUCUUCUUUGUUCUUCCACGUUGUUGCGCCUCAAGUGAAGAGGCUUACUUCACUCCGUCAAUUUGUGAUCGGUUCCAUUGUACGCAUGCGAAAGCGGGAAGGUGAAAUCAAAAAUCCAAACUUAUCGGAUUUGAAUCUUUGAGUAGGUAUGAAUUAUGAGUCGUGUAUUCGUUCUUCUUCUACGAGAUAUUUCUAAUUCUUCUGUGUGAUUGAUGGCAUUGCAUAUUGGUGCGUAUGUAUUGCUUUUGCGUGUUGCUUCUACUUCUUCUGUGCGAUUUUGAUGCAUUGUUGUUACAGGUCGAAUAAAAGAUGAAGGAUGAAGUAGGAAGUUGAAGGUGAAGUAGAAGAUGAAGAAUGAAGUUUGAAGAAAUCUUGCAGAAUAGAGUUUAGAGAAAAAUCUGCAGAAUCAAGUUUGGAGAAAAAUUUGCAGAAUCAAGUUUGGAGAAAAAAUCUGCAGAAUCACAGUAAGGUAUGCUUAAAUAUAGUUUUGAAAUUUGUUAGAAAUGCAUAAUAAGAUUCACAUGAAAUUCUCCAGUUAGUUACAAUUUCAGAUUCACAUGAAAUGAAAUUGAAAUUGAUUUGGUUUGCAUUUGGUUUUAACUUGAAUUUGAAUUUAGUUCGAGCUGGUUGAAUUGGUUUUAUUAGCCUUGGAUUUCUUUUAGUUAGUUUUCUCCUUAUUCAAUUGGUUCUGUUAUGAAUUUGUCACAGGUUUUGCAGGUUAAAAUCGAUAGUUAUGAAGGACCUUGAAAGUCCUACUGGUGGUCACAAAUUUGUUGGGACAAAGGCUCCAUGGGAAGACUAUAGCAAACAUGCUUUCUACUAUAGUUUAAGUCGGUUGUCUGAGCAUCAGUUUUACAACAAGAGAAAGAAGAGUUUUGGAGGAGAUAACCUGGAGCGUGUUUACUAGUCCCCAACAAAGUUUUCUAUUGAUGAUAAAAUGUUGCACUAUUUUCUAGUUGUAAUACCCCAAAAUUUACCCUUCCAUUUAUCCCUAGAAGCAUGGGUUUGUUUCACAUUGCAUUAGCAUCAUACUAGGUCAUACUCAUUGCAUAUUACAUCAGUGACUUGGGAAAUCAGGGUUUGAUUGAUCACUCCUUAACAGAAGGAGCCCACACAAGGAAAGAUUGAGAAUUGGACUUCAUUUUCUAUGUAUACAAGUCUCAAGGGUCUCAAGGGGUUCCAUAUGUCUUAUUAUUGCCUCAGUUCAUCAGUGGAAGAUUCAGAGCUCCCAGAGUGUGCAUAUGGAUUUAAUCAGGAAACUAGGGUUUCAUGGUUAUCUGCAACAGGCAAUGUUUAGUUGGAAGUAGAGGGGCUCAUCCAUAUCAUGAUUAGAGAGGCAUCUUGGCCUAGGAAUAUUCACAAUUAUCUCAGAAAGAUCCAUUGGCAAUCAGUGCAAUCAGUUCCUGAUCAUUUUGCCCUAAACUAGGGUUUGGUAUAAAAUCAGUAUAUUUUUGAUUCCUUGGGUGAAACUAUUUUCCAUGGCCCCCCAUAUGUCCACAAGGGUCUACAUACAAAAAAUCAGCUCUUUAUUUGAGCUAGAAGUGCUUCAAUUGAUCAAUGGAAUCAGGAAUCAGACAGUUUGGGAAAAGUCAACUGUGGGGCCAGAAAAGUCAACAAAAAAUCAGCUCUUUAUUUGAGCUAGAAGUGCUUCAAUUGAUCAAUGGAAUCAGGAAUCAGACAGUUUGGGAAAAGUCAACUGUGGGGCCAGAAAAGUCAACUCCUGACAUUUUGAGGGUGGAAUAUCAAAAUCCAUGCCUAAGGGAUCCUACAUGUGAAAUUUGAUCAAGUUUGGAUCAUGGAUUCAUCAUUUAAUCAGAAGUUGGAAAAGUUACUAAAUUUGGAAAUAGUUGACUUUCCAUUUAGGGCAAGUUUUCAUGAUUGUUGCACCCACUUUAAGCCCAUUUUCCAUCAAGAUGCAAGCUCCAUUUGAAACUUUCUCCAACAUGGAAGUUGUCCCUCUUGUUCCAAUAUUUCUAGAUAUAUAAAGUUUUCUCCAUUUGGAUUAAAAUUGAGAAAGUUAUGCUUGGUCAAAGUGAGACAUUAUUUUAGGACACUUAGAAAAUUUUCUAAGUCCAAAAUUUGCAAAAUUUGUCAAGACUUCUUGGACAGAUUGCUUGCACUUCAAGGCAUCUUUUGAAAAUACUUUCUUCAUGACAAUUGUACCUUGCCAUGUCCUAUUUCACACCUUUUUGGAAUCAUCCCAUUUGGAUCAUUGGUUUGAGAGAUGCACUCAUCUAAAGUUGGCAUCAUGAAUUGAAUUUUUAGGCAGCAUUUAGGCCAAACUGGCCCAGCCAUUUUGCAGAUGAUGAGACACGAUUUUAUGGCCAUUUUCACCCCUUUCCACUCAUCAUUUCAACUUGUGCCCAACAUGAAAGAUGUUAAGCUCCAUGCACUCUUCCUACU
rnacentral:lncRNA from 1 species